ACCCGGCUUCUGUCUGUCCAGCCUGCCCGUGCGCGCCCGCUCGCACCUCCGCGCCGGCCCGGGCACCCCCGCACCCCUCUGCGCGCGCACCCUCGCCGGGGCGUCCGGGCCCGCGUGCAGCGCCUGGGAGGGCGCCCCCGGGAGGCCCCCGCGCGGUGGCCGGGCGCACGGGCGCGCGUGCGCGGGCGGGGCGACGCGGGGGCGGGGCGGGGGGCGCAGGGCAGCGGGCGGGACUGGCGGGGCUCGGGGGUUGGAUCCCGCUACCAGCUGGCCUGGCGGCCGGGGUCAUGCCCUUCGCUGUGCGGUCGCUGAGAUCGGAGGUGCGACCUCUCCCCUAGGGGGUGUGUCUGUGGAAAGCCUCGCUCGGCUCUGCGUGGGAGCGACACUGUGGAGCCCGGAUCGCCAGGGCUUCCUCCGGGAGCUGGGAGGUCGCGCGGCCGUCUUCCCCUGAUGGGUGUGACCCCGGUGUCUGCAUCCCGCUGGUGACAGUGUUGAAGAACUGUGGCUGAAGUCCAGAGGGAAGGUGGCUUCAAGGCUGCUGGCAGGCCUCCAGGGAUAUUCCACAGUCCUCCCUGAUGCAUGUGAAAUGAUGACUGACAACCUGUUGCUAAAGAACAGUUUGAACUUCCCUGACAGUCUUGGGUCUGUGGGGAUGGAAACCAGAACCAAUUGGCAGGGAGGGAAGGGCAGGGCCACACCUGCCCCUGUCUGUCUGCUAAGAACAAUUGCAGCCUGGGAGGAGACAAAGACAUUUUUAAAAGGACCCUUCUCCUGCAUUAUUGAAGCCCUGAGUGUUUGAGCAUACAAAUGUUUUAUGGUAUCAAGAUAAAUAUUUUAAUGUAUAUUCCACAAUUGAUAAUUCUUCAGUUUAAUAAUGUAACAGAUAUAUAGACGAAGAAAUGCCUGGAGCUGUAAGAGAAAUGGCUGGAUAUUAGAAAUAGCCUUAUAAUAAUUUUAAAAGUGAGUAAUGGAUUUAAAAACUUGAGAGUAUUAAUCAUCUAGCUGUAUAAAAUAAUGGUCACUGGAGUUUUGAAUUAAAAAGACUGUAUAUUUAACAUCUUUGGUUAAAAAGGAGGAAUUCUUAGUAAACUCACAAGAGAAUUGUAUGUUUCUCAAUUUACUCAAAAAGUGUCUGGGCAAAGAUUCUGAGCAUUAGAUUUCUAUAAGGUCUAGAGUUUUUAAUUUUAAAAAACAUUUUAGUGAAAGUAUAUUCAAUGAUACAGUAGGUGUGCUUGCUACUAUGGGGUGACAAAAUGUGGAAGUAAGUCAGGAUUACAGUCAUGUCAGCUUGGGUUCUUCUUACUAACCGCUGUGGCCAAACCUUAAAACCCUUUGCUGAUGUAAAGGGAUGUAAAUUAUUUGGCGUUGGCAGUGGUGCCUUUAUGCCCUUUCAUUUCGUGUUGUUGAAACACUGUCUCUCAGCUGCAGAUGCUCAUUAGGAACACUGCCUUUUGAUGCUGGUGCGGGUGCCAAAUGGUGCCUUCCAGACUGUUUCAAUCCGCGGCACUUACAGUGCUCUGAGGCCAUGUCUACACCUGGCCACUGGGUCUGCUGAAUUUCAGCUGGGUUGACACACCUGUGCCCUUCCUGCAAUAUUAGUGUAGCUUCUGAACAGUCAGGAACGUAAAGAGGACUGGGCUAAAAGAUUUGUCUUGUGUAUGUGUGUUUUUGAAAAAAAGCUUUUAAUGAACCUGUUGCGUAUUCUUUACCUUCCAAACGUGUAAUAUUUUCUUGAAUUCAAAGAUUGUGGCUAAUGACCUGUAUUCUGCGACAUACUCUCAAUGAAUCUAUUUUGAUUUGUAGCUGCAAACAUUGGCAACAUCUGGGCUGCCCUUUCUAUGUCUUCCUGAGAUAAUGCAUAAAAAGCCUUUUGUUGCAUGUGAUUCUCUUCUUUUGGUUUCUGAUUACCUCACCAUUUAGGAGUCGUCACAGUAAUGCCACAUUGUUUGAGAUUGUGUUACAUGAGGCAUUCUCUUAAAAUAGUUGAUCGAAUAUGUUUAUUGAGUGCCAGCUUUUAAUCAUCAGCUCUGUGGGUGUCACAAGGAUGAGAUGACAUAGUUGCUUCUGUCAGGGAACCCUGGUUGUCGUGGAACACGGAGAUUAAGAAGUAUACAAUCCUAGGGGCUGGGGAUUUAGCUCAGCGGCAUAAGCACCUGCCUUGCAAGCAGGCAGUCGUGAGUUCAAUCCCCGGUACCGAUAAAAAGGAAAAAGACAAAAAAAAAAAAGAAAAAAAAAAAAAAGAAGUAUACAAUCCUGGGGUGAAGCACUCGCCAUAUCCCUUACUGACUGUUACAUCUUGGACAAGUUAUUGACUCCAGUUGGGGAGAAAUCAGUGAUGCCUACUUUGUAGAGUUUAUAUGAUAGUUUUAGAGACCACAAAAUUUCAAGGUGUGCAAUGUUCCACUAUAUGAAGAAGUAUGUAUAUGAAUCCAGAAAAAAAUAAUUGUUUAGACGUAGUGCUCUCCUUCUGGAAGGAUUUAUGAAAGGAUAUUAUGAGACUAUGAAGUCUUCAGUGAUUAGAACCAGACCUAAGAAAUCGGUUGCUAAAUGUGUGUGUACCAUUGUGUUGGUGGUCAAUACUUUAGAAGGAAGAAUGGUUUGUUUACAACAUUGAAAGCUAUUAGUAAAAGGAUGCAUCAAGGUUUAAUGGAUCCUGGGGAGCAUGCAAUUUUGAGGGAUUUCUUUAAGGGAAAUUCAAAACUCUCUGGCUUUGGCAAAAAACUUUCAAAAAGCACAUAAUCAGGAGAACACAUCGGAGGCCCCCAUAGCCCAUCGCUGAGCAGCCUUGAAAGACCCCACUUGGCUUUUGCAGCUCUGCUUCUGGAUCCAUUUGCUUGAGAAUAUAGGCUAAUUGUCCCAGUUUGCUAAACAUGGACUUGGUGAUAGUUACUUGUAUAGUGCUUGGAGGACUAGAAUAAUGAAUCAAAAUCAAGAGUUAUUUUUUUUUAAAAAUGAGCUCUUUAAUGCUCAUUUUCCAGAACAGUCCUAAAUGAGAUCUGAGGUGUUUCGCUAUUUGCUGAUAUUUUUGUAAAUUACUAACCAGAAUAAAAUAGUAGUUGCUAUUAUUAUUCAAAUGAGUCAGGCAUAAGUGCCAUUCUCUAGGACCAGGAAGUUUUGCCAGCCAAAACCAAAAGAUAUUAGAUAAGAGAAUGAAGGUUUAACAGCAGAUAAACAGGUUAUAUAAUACCAAUAAUUAUAUCUUAAUGACCACUGUGUGGUUUAUGGAGCUAUGAUAUCAGUUAGUUUCCUGUCACCUAUUCAGUAAACAUUUAGUUACAUCUGCUCUGUGCCAGUAACUGGGAAUGGACUGGUCACUAAGAAUACAACAUCUGUUUCCAUGAAGCCUCCAGUCUAGCACUGUACAGAAAUACAGCCGUUAAACACGCCAAGCACACACAGUCGUAAUGACAUACUUAGUUUAAAACUAAGGCAGGGAAGAGGGUACUUUGAGAGUUUGUUAGGGUGAAGCCCACUUUCCACUGGUGGUUGGGGAGGGGAGGAAGAAACAUUUAAACAAGUGUCGAAUAGGAAGGACAGGUGAUACUCUUAUUUUAAGUGAUUUACUCCUAGGCUCAGCAAACAUUAAAUGACAGCAAACAUUCCUGGUUUUCUUACCUCAAGAAACCUUGAAUGAACCUUGAAUGACCCUUUCCCUGGAGAAGGUAAUUUAGCUUCAAUCAUUGUGCCGGGGUUCGAAUUAUAUAGCCCAAGAAGAAAUGCCCCUGUCUCCACAGGCGUGUUAUAGUUACAAACAGAGGCAGAACUUAAACACUGCUGGAUCACAAGACAGGAAGAAAUCAACUAUUUGUGAGACUCCCUGGAGCUGGGCUUUGGAGAUGAGUUUGCUUUUGCAAGACGGACAGGUGAAGGUGAUUCUGUCAGAGCAGGUUCACUGAGCAGAAUAUUUACCCAGGUUUGAGGAGCAGGGCUCCCUGAGGCGGAGGGAGAGCAGGAGAAACAGCGCUGGAAGGCCAGAUUGUGUAGGUCUUGAAGCAGAAAUUGAGGCUGAGAAAAGUGAAGGGUUACAGUAGGUGAUCUGGGACCGUGACUUACACGAGGUGGCUGCACCUAGCAUCGGGAAAUGUGCCAACAGAUGGGCUCCUGUACCUUCUGCACAGACGUGAGCCUGACCAAAGUAGGGAGAGAGCAUCUUGCAGGAGGAAUGUAACUCAGAUAUUUGGAAUCUCAAGUGUGUACUGGCCAUGCUGGUACUCUGCAGGUUGUUUCUCUCUGAACCUGUUUCCCAUCUGGAAAAUAGCGUUCAUGACACCUUCCUCCAUGGGAUUUGGUAAAUUUAAAUAAAAUAACAUGAGAAGCAGAUAAACUGUAGGCACCCAGUGGGUGCUUAUAAUAAAUUCAUCUUGUUAUAAUCUUGGCAUUCUGGAAGGCUAAAGCAGGAGGAUUGCAAGUUGAAGCCCAGCCUAGACAACUUAGCAAGAUCUUGUCUCAAUAUAAGAAUUUAAAAACUAAAAAGAAAAAAAUACUGGGGAUGUAGUUCAAUGUGAAGCCCCUGAGUUUAGUCCCCUAGUUCUGGGGAAAAAAGAUUCGUCUUCAAUAGAGAUUUUUAAAAAAAUGUUUGUUAAAAGGUGCCUGGGGAAUAAGACAUCUAAGAUUCUGAAUUCUGAGCUAGAGGAUGAGAGUGGAAACAGAAGAAAUUUAAAAACCCUGUAGUAGCCCCGCAGAAGCUUUUCCAUGGUUGGGGAGAAAGUUUUUUUCCCAACAGUUAAGAAAUCUCCUACUCUCCCUUCCCCCCAAAAGAAAAAAAAUCGUGAAAGUCGGUAAUGAAUAAGAGUUUUAAAAAGGAGUCAAGCAGCAGUUCUGAGAUUAGCCUAGGGAUGCAGAAGUCACUUUGGGUGGGUUUAAUGUCUGAAUAAGGUGCAGAAAAUGUUUGAGCUAGGCCUGCAGAGACUUGGGGUACCUGGGUCAAGGAGGACCUGUUUCCCCAGAGGAGAUGGACUAGCUAAGAAUGAGCUCUGAGAAGCACUAAAGGCUGGGUUUUUGGGCAGCCAUGUUAACAUUUUAAAUAUUAGGAGAUGGGUGCUGUUAAGACAUUAGGAAGUCAUGUUUAAAAACAUUCAAGGGGGUGGUCAGUCAUAGCAGCUGAGCACGUGACUGAGCAGGCUGUUUCUGAGACCAGCUGUGAGUUAGCAGAUGGAGUAAGUAGGGGUCACUGUGUACUUAAUGGGCAUUUUGGUAAUAUGUAGCGUCCACCAUAGUAGCUGGACAGAAUAGAGGGUGAACGAAAGGAUUCUUUCGCUGUGUGAAAGACGGAGACUAGAGGAUGCGAGAAGGGGAGCCAGUUAAGUCCUAGGAGAGAACCUGCUCUAUGUCCUAGGAAGACUGGUGGUGAGGAACGGGUACUCUUGGGCUUUACAGUCGAAAGAUCUGGAUUUGAGAUUUGGCUCUGCUUCUAACUAAGUGAAUUUAUAUAUACUCUCUUUGAACUGCAACAUUCUUAUUUGAAAAGGAGAACACAAUAAGAGAAUAUAUGUGAAAGGCAUUGCAAAUUAAAAGAUUUUACUUGUACCUUAUUAAUAGACAGGUAGCUGAACAGUUUUAUGGAAUUCAGAUUUUGUGUACCAGAAGGACUUUUAGGAACAACUGUGAUGGAUAUUAUCAAGCAGAUAAUUUGGGAAUUAGGCACUUCUGAUGACUGUGGAUAUGGAUAAAAUGGACACAGAUGAGAUGUUAGAGAUGGGGAACAGCCAGUGAGGGGAGAUGGCAGAUCCGAAGUGGAAGAUGCAGGAGAGAGAAAGAUUAACUUGCAAACUUAGUAGGACAAAAUAAUCGCGCUGCUGUCAUAUGAUGGGGAAAUUAAGAGACAGGUUGUAGAAAAAUUUGGACAUACUAAUAUCUUAAUUUAUAGAUCUGUAUUUCCUAAACUGUGUCUGAUUAAAUCAUUUUAGUUGAAUUCUACAUAUGUUAGAAAAAAAGAGGAAGAAAAAAGGAAGUAAAAAGAAAGACGGAAGAAAACAAAAAAAUGGAGGGAUGAAAGGAGGAAGGCAUAGAGUGAGACGGAACAGAAUAGAAAGGAGUGUGUUUUUAAUACAGCGAGGGUAAAUGUGUUUUGAAAAGCUUGUUUCAGUCUGUGCGUGCGUGUAACACAUUACCCAGUUAUGAUGGAGAGUGUUACACGACUCAGAUCAGAAGAAUUUGACAGCUGCUGUCAUAGAAGUGAGAAUACAGGGCUGAGGAGAGGACGAGGGAGUCUCUAGUACAGAAAGUGUUCGAGAGCGUGGACAGCAUGGACGGUACUGAGGAGGGGAGCAGUGACAGCAGAAACACCGUGUAGCUGCUAAGCAGUCUGUUAGCUGCCUGAAGGUAUUAAAAAACCCAAAUAAACAACAAAAAAGAAGGUGAAAUUCUAACUCUGCAUUAUUAACCUUAGAAAUGAAAAGGUAACUGCCCCAGAUAACACACAGAGCAAAAGAGGACUUAACACGUCAUUGGCAAUGUAAAGACUGCUAGAAAUAAGGGGGGCUGGAGAGCUCUUGCCAGUGGAAGUCAGAGCAGAAACUUGAAGGAAGGCUUUAGCUCUGCAGAGGAUAACGAUGUGUGAGACAGACACACAGUGGUGGGUGUUGGGAGGUGGCUGGAGGGAGCCCAGCCCAGAAGACUAAGGCUCAGAGGUAGUUUUGGAUUCUUUCAAUAAAGAGAGAGCAUCAAAAAUUAAAGCCAGUACUUUUCAGAUACAGUUUCAUACCCAGAAGUGUUUAUGUCUUCAUAAUUGUGUUGCAUACAGAAUGGUGUGUUGCCUAUUAUUAGAAGGUAGCAUUGAACAAAUAAAGGGAACCAGAGCUUAGUGGCAUGAACAGUGAGGUUAGAAAACUGCAAUAAUGUGAAACGAACAAAAGCUUGAAACAAAUACUUUAUGUAGGUACAAUUUUAUUAAAAAGCACGUCUUUCACUGUAGCCCAUCCCCAAGCCUGGAAGACAGCAGCUUACAUUUUAUGUUGUCUGAGUUUUCUAUGAGAACAGACUGCUUUAUACUCAAGUUGUAAAACAGGGAUAGCAGUGCUUGUGUGGGAAAGAGUGUCAGGAAGGUGAGCCUCAGGAGGAAGCUGGAUUCCUUUCCCAGGAGCGCGGUUACUGGUCAGCUCAGGAGUGAAAUUCGGGUUCUGAGGAGUCAAAGGCUGAGGAAGGGCUGAUGUCCACGGCAGGCAGCUGCCAGGACGGAUGGAAAGGAUGCUCCGCGGGGUGAAGGCUUCAGCUGAGGCUUCACGCAUGGCAGGCGGAGCCAGGGAGGGGACAAGUGAUGAAAACCAUUGCUAAGGAUGACACUACAGAUUCAUGUGUUGGGAAAUUAAUCAGAUUAAGGGCUCCCCACCCAGUGACUAUGUUUACAAUGUGGGAAGAUAAUUUCCAAUACAUUUUUGUUUUCUUGAAUCAGUGGCCAUGAUACUUGUGCUUUUAAAGAGUCUUUGUAAUUGUAUAUAGCAGUCUUCUAAUGCUUGUGCUUGUCACAGAUUGAAUGUAUUAUUUUUAUCAGAUCAAGAGUGGAAGGGGUUGACACUGACUACUUUUUAAAAUACUCUCUCAUUCGUACUUUGUUUGCAAGCACCGACUUUGUUUACACGAGAUGCUGCCAAUCACUAGUUAAAUCAGAAUUACUCUAGGAGAAUUUGAUUCAUGGUACACUCUAGCAGGCUUAAAGAUAUGUUAUCAUGGGCAUGAGAAGAUGUAAGUCUGUGCAGGCUCUUUGAUUCGAGUUGAUAAUUAUCUCUCUUAAGUAUUUCCUUUUAGUGUUGAGGAGGCAGUGUGUAAUGUCAACAUUAUCCCGUAGUCUUUUGGUAUAAACCCUGCAUUUUGGACCAUGAUUCCCCUGCUAUUCAUGACCUUGAGCCAGUUACUUAAUUUCUCCAAUGCUCAGCUUAUGAUGUGAAACAAAAACAAUAAAACCCACCUAAUAGUGUUAUUAGAAGGACAAAGUGAGGUAAUUUAUACAACUGUCUGGAACAUAGUGAGCUCAGUAAUUUUUCUCACUUUUUGCUAAACCUCACAGCAGAGACACACACAAUUAGUGUUGGCCCACUGUGGUCUAGAAACCUGUGUCCUUCAGUGCGGAGAAAUGUUCCCAUAUUAUUCACUUAAUAUUUUCUCUGUUGUUUCAUCUUGGGCUUUAUGAAAUUCCUAACCAGAAAUUGGAAUGAUAAUUUGAUUUUUCUUUAUACUUACUUUCUGAGACUUUUGUAGGCUUUUUCCAAUUUUACUGUUGAAUUUUCUAUUUUGAUAAAAUUUUUAAGAGCUCUUCAUGAUUGUCUGAAUGCCUCUUUCGUAGCUUUCUCUUUUUUUUUUUCUUGUUUUCUUGUUGGAUUACCUUUCAUAUUGCUGAGAAUUUUAAACUUCCCUUACUUCUUGUAUUGUGUAUUCUUGUAUUUUUUUCUCCUCUCUUGCAUUCCUCUUAUGUUUUAGUAUCUCUUUUCAUCUUUUGGAUUGUUUGAUUUCAUGCCUCAAACGCUAACGCUCCUUGGCUGCCAUCAGUAUUUCUGAGGGACAUGCUGAGAGGCUGUGGGCAGCUCUGUGGGUGGACUUCACUCGGCAGCGUGACUGUGUGAGACUUGGGCUGUUGUGUGGGGAGCGUCCACAUCCAUUCACUAGUCUGUAUGUUUUCUUUUGGGUGGUCAGUUUAAGAGAGAUCAACAUUGUGCAGCCUGGAGAAUGCCAGCCUGACUAUUUUUCUCUGAGUGAAAGAAAACUUUUUCAGAAGUAGGAUUUCCUUCAUUCCCCUUAUUUUCAGUAAGCUGCGUCUGACGUCAGCAGUGACUGUUGUUCUUUAUGGUUCAACCUCUCCAGUUUAAAAAAAAAAUCCAAUCUUCUGUUUGGAUGAAGGAGGAUGAGAGAAGAGAUACCUGUAAGCUAUCCUUUGGUAGCUUAUAGUUUGUGUGAUCACACAUCUUUGUGUGUGCGUGUGUGUGCGCGCGCGCAUCCGUGUGUGUGUGUGUGUGUGUGUGUGUGUGUGUGUGUGUGUGUGUGUGUGACUGUGAAGUUGAAGCAAGUGUUAACUCUCAUUUUGGAGCAGACCAGGAUCUAUGGACUGCCUAUCUCUUUGAGGGCUUGUAAUUGCUACAAGACACAUUAGACUUUCGAAAUCUUUUAUCUCAUAUAUUUUAGUGUAAAAUUGUUGAGAGAAGAGUUCUGAACGGAAAAAGUAAAUGCUCUAGGGGUUCAUCAAAGGCGAAAACCUAAAAAGAAGCCUGUCAAGGCAACUUGAAGAGCUCGACGGUUCAAAGAGUUUAAGGACAAUCAAUGAUUUUUAAAGACGCUUUUCCAAAUUUAGAGUUCUCAAAAGAUUCCAGAGUUUCUUGAACUUAAAGAGUGGUGGGUAGAGCAGUUUCAUGAAUAUUUUUGCAAAUGGCCAUGUCCUACACUUGUGGGGCCGUAGGAUGUUUACUAGAAACAUUCAGUUAGUUCAGCAUUUAUAAAUUAACACCUACAUUCCAUAUAGUUGACUAAAGAGUUGGAGGUGAAAGGUGAAUGCAUUCAGCAGCUUUGUAAACAAUUCUAGACCACAUUCUAAACUGGUUUUGGUUGCAUUUGUAAUAUUUACUCCUCCGGAAUGGCACCCAAGGUCACCUUGAAAAGGUAACUAAGAGUUAUUUAUACCUUUCUCAGAUUUCCUUCUAUGUAUGUUGCUCAAUUUACUCACGAAGUUUAAAAUUUAAAUUUUUCAUCAAAAAAUCAGCUGUCACAAUGAAGCCAGAAAGGAGACAUUGUGUGACACUCUUCGCAGAUAAGAGAUUGAAAGUAAGUUGGUUAACUACCCUAGAUUACAGUUUGAGGUCAUUCUGAGCUAAAUUGGCUUUGGAAUCAGAAUUUAAAUUACCAGUCAAACUCAAUUAAGAUAACUGGACACGAAGGCAAUUCAUUUGCUUCCUCACACAAAGAAUAUUUUUAUUGUUUGUACUUCACAGCCAAGUUAGAGUCUAAGCACUGUUUUUUACAAGAGGACAUUUCACAUAGUGAUUGACUGAGGUGAUUGGGCGUAGGUCUGUAUCUAAAUAAGGAACCUGUGAAAUCACUUAUUUGAUUUUUCUAGGGAUGUUUAGAGUAGGUACUUUUGAAGUCACUAGGAGGUAAAUCAAUACAUUACAUUGAGCAAUAUUUUUGCUGUCUUGUGCAAUAAUAGUAUAUCUAUUACAAACAAACCUGGGACAGUUAAAUGGUUUUAAUAAUAAAAUAAAUAUAGUUGGAGAUAUUUUAAGAAAAUAUAAAUUAUGCAUAUGUAAUUAUUUUUAUAACUUAUGUAUGCAUUUAUAAGUACUAUACUUUUUGUUUGUGAUCAGUGGGUUUAUGAUUACCUAAUUUAAAAAUUUUCCCCGAGAUUCAAAAUGAUGACUUCAUUGCUAAUUUAGUUUUCACUUUCAUCUUUUUUAUGUUUUAUAAGCUAACAAGUAAAUUAGAUCUUUUCAUUUCUAACUUUCUUAAAUUAGAAAGUUUUCUUAAAUUAGAAAGUUAGAAAUGAAAAGCAUGAAGGAAGAAAACGAUUUAAAUCUGCAAUGAGUUUAGUAGUGUAGAUUGUGCAUCUGAUACUGUCUUGAGAAUACUAGUGUUUUACUGACUUAAGCUACUUGAACACUAGAACAUCCUAGGAAAAAAGUCUUGAAAGAUUCCCUGAUUUCCUUGAGAUGAUGCUAAUGUCUAUUCUAGGACAGUCUAGAACAUUCUAAUAGUGUACAGAUGUUACUGGCUGGUAAAAGUCACAUGUCCUGGAAUUUGGGACUACUGGAAGAAGAUUAAAAAAUAAAAAUAAUUGGUGUUGAUCAACAUAGAUGUAAAAAUAUUUUGCCUGAAAUUCAUUUUGAACUAAUCUCAUUUAUAUUUUGUAUGCUAAAGCCACAUCUGUAUAGACUUUAAGAACAUAUAAAUUAGAUUUUAUGAUAAGUGUACAUUUCUUUCAAAGCUUUGAUAGAUAUCAAGAAUAAAAUUAAAUGCAAUGAGAAACGAUCUUUAAAUGUGCAUAUGUAUGUAAUCUGUUGUAUGAAGGUUCUGAUUUCUUGGUAGCAUUGAACAACUUUUAUUGUUUUAUUGAACAAAUUUUACUUAGUUUUCUAUUAAAACAGACAUUACAAUUAAGUCAUUAUUUUUAUAAAAGUACUUAUAAGUUAGGUGGAUUACUAUUGAAAUGUAACUUCUUGGAAUUUAUAAUCAGUCAUAAAAUUCACAACUUUUCCAAAGGCUUAUGCCAGACAGAUCAUUUAAUAUUUAAAAACAAAGUGCAUUUUCUUAAGUAGAUUGUAUUACUAUUGUUCCCUCCAACUAAGUUUCCUAGACUUGAGAAAAAGUUGAUACAUUGGAACCAACAGUUGACCAUAGAUUUAAAAAUGAUACAAAAGGUUUAAAAAUCUAAAUUAUCAUUGUUUACAAAAUAUUGGCAAAUUAGAGCUAAAGUGCUUGGUGUUAUUGUAUAAUCUACUGUUUAAAAAUAAACAGUGGAAAUAAUUGUAGAAACCCCUGGGUUUAGAAAAGCUUGUUGGUGGUUCUUCACAUCCUACUAAAAAAGCAGGCUGUCUUUGCAUAUUAAUCACUCUGUGAAAGGAAGCUUGCCUUAUUUGCAUUGUGCAUGCACUAAGAAGUCCAAUAGUAUGCCUGAGAAAAAAAAUGGGGGAUUGUAAUUGUUGUUCUCAAAAGGGUUUUUAUUCCAUUCAAGUGGAAAAGCUGAAUGCUGGAGAAUUAGUGCAGUGUUUUGUGGAAGAAGAGUCCCUUUUGGCUCCUCUCUGCAGUAUGUGGCAUGGUCCCUCUGGGUAAGGAAUCUGAACGUUGGGGUGAAAAGGGAAGUGACUUGUCUUUCUAUCAUGCAGUCUAUGUUUUUGUAGACCUCUGUGAUUUUGCAAGCAUUUUCUCCUCGUUAUCUAUCCCAGAAGAGAAGGAAAUUCUGGCAAUAUAUGCAGUAUUAGAAAUCUCCAGAGAAGAAACGAAGAUGGUCCAAGAUUUCUGAAUCUAACUAGCUUAUGCUGGGGGCAUUGCAAACAUGAGGAAUGCACAAUGCAAAAGUAAAAAUACUGUGCACAUUUUUAAGAAAUGAUGAGACUUAGCUAUGACUUGUCCCAAAUUGAUUUUGAAAGAUAUAUUUGAAAUUAUCUUAAUAAUAAUGAUAUCUUAUUCAUUACAUCGUGUUUUAAGACAUUGGUUUUUAUGUAAACAUCAAAAACAGACAGAAGAAAUGUUCUUAAUGUUAUUGAGUCUUUUAAUAAGAUCUUAAAUGAUGAGCUACUUUUAAUAUGUUUAUUCCCCCUGGUAAAACACACCUCAUAAAACUUUGUAUGACUUCUCGCUACUCUAGUUGGCAGAAGCUAAAGCAGUGCAGUUUCCAGAAGCUUGGCACAUGUAUUGGUUAUUUUGCAGGUCCAUUACUCAAAAGUGUUUCAAUAUACUUUACCUGAUUUUAACAUCAUUGAAAACAUCCUUUACAGAAUAUGACAUUUCCAAUUAGACUCAAAUUUUUAUAAGCAAAUGUGCUAUUAUCUGUGUGCAAAUAUUUUAACCAAAUGAUUGGGUGUCAUCAUAGAGACAGGGCUGACCAUUGUUCUUAAUGAUUUUGUUAAAUACGAGAAAGUAGUUAAGGGAGUUAAAAAGGUCGCGUUUCUGGUUUUGCCAAGAGCCACUGGGCUUAGGUGUUUUUGAUUAUUAGUGGAUCUGCUUGUCAUUGCUUACUUUAAAGCUGCACAGAUUUGGUUAUUUGGAAGUUGAACAUAGGUCCCUGGAUAUUGCCAUUUCUAUUUUAUUUGAAUUGCUUCUUGCUAUAGUCAUCUUUGUGGAAAUUGGGUUUAACUCCAGUUUUGGUAUUCUGUAGACCGUUAGUGUGUGUUUGAAUUGCUGUUCUGAAUAGGAGCUGGCAAGAAGUAGUUUGCAAAAGCAGCCUAGUAGACUAGCAGAACACCAGCAAUACCAGCAACAGUAUCAUCAGCGUAAUUUCUGCCAAUCAAAAAAUUAUAAUAGGUUUUGUAAUAAACUCUUUCAAAAUAACAUAACUGAGAUUCUUUGUGUUAUAGACAUGGCAGAACAUUACAACAAAUUUACUCAUAAGCUUAUGAACUUCUAAUCUUGAUUCAUGAAUCAGAGCGACAACCACUCUAUAAAAUAAAAUUAGAGCUCUCAUUGGGCAAGAGCAGAACAGUGGGCUUUGUAAGGUGGGAACAAGGAUACAGAAUGAUGAGGGAGAACGAUGAUUGGAUAGCAUCAGGUUUAUUCAAAUUGCUGUUUCGGUAAGGGUUAAAGUAGAGGGCACGUUCUCACUGACCUGACUCAUGCAGACUGACAUCUUCUGUUUUCAAGAACAGCUCGUCUGUUUUGGAACAAUCUGCUUUUUUAAAGUUUCAGGUUGCUCAUAGGCCAUUUUAUAUGAGUGACUCCAUUUUGGUUUGAUUUUAUCUGUUAGGGCUUUGUGCAUAAGAUCAGUCCAAAAUGAUGGUCUCCUAUAAUUUUUGUGCAAAAGGUAUAUAACUUAGAGUUUACAGUUAAUAGUUUUGAACUUUAUUCUACAAAUGUGGAAUACAGCUGGGCAUGGAGGUCAGUAGAGAGCAUAUGUGCUCAGGGUUCAAUCCUGGUAAUCUUUUUUCCCCAAAUGUGUAUGCGUAAUACAUCACACAUUUUUAGGAUUGUAUAGAUUUCAGAAAUACAAAAAGCUUUUUACCAAAAGAAACAGCUGAUAUUUGAAAAGUGAUCAUUUCCAAACUCAAACAACAAAUUUGACAAAAUGUAACACCUAUUUGUACAAAAGUACUUAACAGACCAGGAGUGGAAAGGAUUUCCUUGACCAGAUAAAGGACAUGUGUGAAAAAUCCAGAGCUACCAUUAAAUAGCCAAUAAUCACAGAGGCCCAGAGAUGCUUCGUCUGCUUAGCCAUCAGGGAACUGGAAGUCAAAGCCACAGUCAGAUACCACGUCACAGUUCUUCAAGAGGGCAGUAAUGAAACGACAGAUGCUGAAAAGUGUUAACAGUGAUUUGGGGAAUUUGGAACCCUUGUAUACUGCUCGUGGGGAGAAAUGGUGCAGCCCUUAUAGAAAAGCCAGAUAGUUCUUAAACGAAUUUGCCAUAUGAACCAGUAGUUCUAUUCUUCCCAGAGAUAAAAACACAAAACUGUGAGCUCUAAUGUUCUUGCAGCAUUGUUAAUAAUAAAACUGGAAAGACUCUGAAUGUCCAUCAGCUGUUGAAAGGACCAAAAAUGUGGGGUAGCCAUACAAUGGAAUAUUAUUUGAAAAUAUAGAGGAAUGAAAUCAUGAUAUGCAUCAUAACAAAUGUGGGCCUUUAUUCUGCUUGUUGGUCUUACAAGAUCCUUCAUUACUUUAGCCAUUUGUUUCCUUGUAGCCUUGAAGUUUUAUUUCAACUCUUGUAUUUAUUAGCAUCAUCCAUUAUUCUUACUAACUUUUAGGUUGUGUGCAUUAUGCUAUUAAGAAGAUAGUAAAAAUAAUUUAUUUGGGUACUCCUGGAAAGCCUGUUGAAGCUGAGCAUAACAGGAUUACCUUUGAACACAAUGAAGAAACACAACACCUGAAAACACUUGUCUUCUAUAAAAGGGAAGACAUUUAUAUCUUUUGACUGGGGUAAAAGUCCCUUCUCUUUUUGUCAACCUAUUACUCAGGGUUGCAGAAUAUAGCACGGAGUCACCCACUCUAUAUAUAGUCAAAUGACUGUGUAUAGUCAUUUGAUUAGAGUUCAAAUUUUAAGUGUCCCUCCAAGGCCCAUAUAUAUGUUAGAGGCUUAGAUUCCAGCAUGGCAAUCAUGGGAGAUGGUAGAACCUUUAAGAGGUGGGUCCUGGUGGGAGGUCGUGAGUCACUGGGGUGGGCUCUCAAAGGGGAUUGGGGGACACUAGCCCCUUUUCUUUGCCUUUCACUUCCUAGCCCAUGAGGUGAUUGGAUUUAUUUUGCCACAUGUUCCUGUCCUAAUGUGUUGUCCCCUGUCACCCUAAAAGAACGUGUCUUCCUGUGUACUGAACCUGGCAAAAUUGAGAGCCUAAAUAAGGUUUUUCUAUUUAUAAGUUGGUUAUCUGAGAUAUUACAGUGAUAUUGAGCUAACACCCCUCUCAAAUACCUCGUAACUUUUACCUGGAACUAUGUACUAUCUUAUUUUGUGUUACUGUGAAUAUCUUCCCCUUGCUGCCACCAUUUUUACAGUUAAGUUUAUCACUCAUUUCUUAUAUAGAGAGGAAGAGAAAUUGAUAUGCUUCCCAAGAUUUUAUAAUCUUUCAUUCGUAAAUUAUAGAUCAAAAAUGUUUGUUUUUGGUUCUGUUCAUUAUAAAUUGGUACAGAAGAUAUAUGGUUGCAUUUUAUUACGCUAAAUGGAUUUGAAAUAUUUUUCUUCUGAGAUUGUAAGUAAAAGAUUACUUAGAUAUUUAUGUGGUGGUUAAUAUGAAUGUGGUUAAGUAAUUCUUCGGUGACAUUUAUUGUGUUUAGCAAACAUUGUGCUUCUUUUUUAGAACAGUGAUAGAAAGUCUAUAAUGGUAGAGGUUUUCACUAAACGAGGAAGAAUUCUUCAUUAGUGGUGUUCAGCUAAAUCAAAGUGCUCCAGAUCACAUAUGGAUUUUACACCAGAAUGCUUUUUGAAGACAUAUGUUUUCCUGCUGCCAUCCCCAGAAUUAUUUGAAGAAGCAAUGGAGCUAAUCCUUCAAAUUCCUAAAUUUCCCAGGGAUUGAUGACCUCUGAAUUUGAAAGAUCUUAGAAACAAAAUUCAUUUAACCUGUUGCUUUACAGCAAAAUUUGCAAACAUUUCUGAUAAGAAUUUGUUUUAGAAAGUAAGGUAUCUCAGACAUAUAGUUGGAGAUAAAGAUCAAAGAUUAUUUGUACUGUAAUGAAAUUAGUUGGCUCCCAUUAGGUAGCUUCCCUAUUUUAGAACAAGUUUAGUAUUUAUUGAAGAAAACACUCCUUGGCCCCUCCAAUAAAAAGUAGUAAAUAGAAGAAAGAAAAAAAUCUGAGUUUUAUGUGCCUUUUCAUCUUUUCAGACGUGCUUAUUUUAUGACACACAGUCCACUCCAAGUCUAUAAUAUGAUUUUUGUUACCUCAAGAGUUUUGUAACUUAUUUUGAUUGGAAAUUGUGAUGCAUUCUCUAUAAGAUGCUAUGUACACGUGGUGAUGCAGCAUAAUCUGGGGAUGUGUCUUAGUUACUUUUUACUAGUUGCUGGGACAAAAUAUCUGACACCCAAAAUGAAGGAAGGAAAGAUUUAUUUCUUACAAUUCUUGUAGGUUUUAGUCCAUACUCAGUUGGCUCCAAGGCAGGCUGGCAUGGCGGGAUUGUAGUUCAUGGCAGCCCCAAACUGCAAGAGAGAGAGAGACACCUUCUUCCUGCCUAUACAUCAUAUCCUGGCUCCACCUCUGGGCGGGUGAAACACCAAUCAGAGCGCUAGACAAUGAACCAAUCACAAACGCUAGAUUUCGUUGAAUUGCAUGAGGCUUGGGGGCCACCCACAUAAGCCAUAACAGGAUGCAAAUCUUAUUUUCUGAAGUUCCUGGAAGAAUGUCUUGUAAAUAAAUUCCCAGGAAUUUCUCAGUUGACUCAGUGUCAUUCUAAGCCCCAUAUAGAUAGCUUCAUUCCUUCCUGUAUUUUAUCUGUUUUAAUGUUUUUGACUGAGAGAUAAUGUUUAAAAGAAGAAUACAUGUUAUUAGGUUAAGUUGCAAAAAGGAUUCUAGUUGGGCAUGUCUGAGGACAGAUUUGGAGGCAGUAGAAAAUAGAGCACUUGGUCUUGAAAAAACUGCAGGUACCCUUGUUCAUCAGUGGGGAAGCUGAGAGGACUUUAGAAACACUGGAGCCUGGGAAUAACUUAGUGAGAGAGUACUUUGUUUGGAAAGUUGGAUGUGUUUCCUUGGUCAUGAAGGUGGGAAACGUUGAGAUCUAGAAGCCUAGAUGAGGCAGGGGUGGGGUUGCAGAGGUUGUGUGAGGUGGUGAGGUUGAAUCUGAAUUCUGAUCAUGAUACUUAAAGGUGGGCACUGUGUAAGGUUUACUACAAACGGAAGAUGGAUGAAGUUGGUGAGUGAUUUGGGUAUGCAAGAAGGGGAGGAAGGGAGAUGUUUUGUAUUUCGGGCUAGGGUCAGAGAAAGAACAAAUGCAACAGAAACGGGGAAAGGGAAGAGGGAGAAUUCUUUUUCCGGUUAUAGUUUGUGUUAGGUGACCUUGAGAUCACGUUGAGGACCUUGAAGCUUGAUAGUUUCCUAGAAACAGGUAUUUAGAAUUUUUAUGAGAGAUAAGAUGAAGAGACAGAUCUGCAGUCAUUAAACACUACAUGGUUCUCAGAGGAUGUCUGAUAUUUAGAGAGAGCAGCAGAAGAGAACAAGGACAAAGCCUAACCAAACAUUCACAUUCUGAAAAUACUUUAGUGUGUGACAGUUACUAAAAAUGGCUACUGAGCUGGACACGGUGGUGCACCCUAUGAUCCCAGCACUUGGGAGACAGAAGCAGGAGACUGCCGUGAGUUUGAGCCUUGGGCUACACAGUGAGUUCAAGGCCUGCCUCAACUACACACCAAGACCCUGCCUCAAAAAAGAAAAAAAAAGCUACUGCAUCACUUCAGCAAAUUACCAUUUUGUGCAAUUUCAAGGAAUUGAAACUAUAAAGCUGUCAUUUUAUAUCCUAUUCUUGCCUUGAAUUCAUAGUAUUUUUUAAAAUUUAUUUACUCUGUCUCUGUUUUAAUGGAGGAACAUUAAACAUUUGCAGUUCACACUAAUUUCUUGUUGAGUUUUUGUAUUUUAAUCCUUGUAGUAAGUGACAUGAUAGAUGAGGGAUUAUGUAACACUAACUGAUUUUAAAUCAUCAAACAUUAAUGCAGUUGUAUUCCAGGAUACAGGGAGACCUUGUAAAUAAGAUUCUUAGAGAGCUACAGAAAAUGACCUUGAGAAAUCAUGAAAUGACAAAAAUUCUAAUUUUUUUCCCAAGUGGACAAAGAAAAUAAAUUCACCCCUGGGGAAGAUUGAGAUACUUAAUACCCAUCCUUGAAAAGUUUUAAGAAUGGAAUUCUAAGCAAUUCAUAUACAAACUCAGAGGAGAGAGCUAGUGUCUAAUGCAGGUUCAUUAAGGACAGGUUAUAUCAGAUUAUAAUUCUCUGCUAGAAUUUCUAGAUGAAAAAUAAAGUUUAUAGUGCUUUUAUCAUGAUAGUUAAAUGAAAAAAUUAAAGCUUAGUGCAUUCUUAGAGGGAAUUUUUUUUCACAUUUUAAGGAUUUGUACUAUGUAUUUUUAUUGAAUAUAUUUAAGUGUACAAUCUAAUAAUUUGAUAUACAUAAUGAAGUAAUAUAAUAUUCAAACAGUUUAAUAUCCCCAUCAUCUCUCAUAACUGCCUUUCUUUUUUUGUGGGAAGGGUAUCUAAAAUUGAUUUGCUUAGCAAAUGCUCUUUUUCUUAAUUACUUUUUUCUCAUUGCUGAGACAAAAAUACCUGAAACCCAAAAUUAAGGAAGGGAAGGUUUAUUUGGCUCCCAGUUUGGGGAGGUUCCAGUCCGUAAUCAGCUGGCUCCAAGACAGAGUGACACAUGGCAGAGGGCAACAGCUCAUGGUGAUGGAAAACAGUGAAAGCAACAAGAGCAAAAAGGGAGGAGUGUGAGAGAGAAGACUCUUUCUGUCCUUCAUGCUGCAUGUAGGCUACCCAUCCUAGCGCUCACACCCGUAAUCCCAGCAUUGGACCGUGAAUCAUCACAAACUCUAGAAGCCCACCUCCGUGACUACAUGAGGCUUUGGGGGAACAUCUAGACACAAGCCAUAACAUUCUUAGAUAUAGUCAUCACGGAGCACAUUAGAUUUGUACACUUAUUUUCCUUACACAAUUUAAACUUUGUACCUUGUGAGCUUUUUCACUAUAUCUUCCCAUUAUUCCACUAAACUUCCUCAAUAUACACCAUUCUACUGUCUGGUUCCAUGUAUUAUUCUUUAAAAAGAUUCUACUUAUGAAACCAUGCAUUAAUUUUAUUUUGUUUGACCAAUUUCAUUUCUCAAAGUGCCUCCCAAGUUUACUUCUGUUGCCAAAAAUAUCCAUAUCUUCUUUUUUAAGGCUCAGUAACAUUCUAUUGUGUUAGUAUACAUAUUAAAAUUUCUUUAUCCGUUUAUCUGUUGAUAGACACUUAGGUGAUUUCCACAUCUUGGCUAUCAUGAAUGCCAGUAUGGUGAACAUAGUGGGUGGUGAUUUCAGUUCCUUUUGGUAUAUACCCACAAGAAGGAUUGUUGGGUCCUAUGCCAAUUCAGAUUUAAUUUCUUUAGGUUUCUGUAUUCUGCUUUUCACAGAGGUUUCACUAAUGUGCUUUCUCACCAACAUCAUACAAUGUCCAUUUCCCCCAACAUAAUGAUUAUUAACUCUUCUCUUUUUGACAAAACCGUACCACAAGGUGUAAUGUGAUAGUAUUUCCUUGAUGAUUGGUGAGGUUGAUUGAACACUUUUUUGUAUACCACUUGACGAUUUUUAUGUCUGUUUGAAGAAAAGUUUAUUCUAGUCCUCUGCUCAUCUGUAAGCUUUUCUUUUGCUAUUAAAUGCAUUGUGUAUUUUGGAUAUUAACUGCUUGUCAGAUUUCUGGUCCGCAAAUAUUUUCUCCCAAUCCACAGGUUUCAUUUUGUUUUGCUGAUUGUUUUCUGUGCUGUGAAGGAGCUUUUUAAUCUGGUAUUAUACCAUUCAUUGAGAUUGCUUUUUGUUAUGGUUUAGUUCUACAGUGUACCACAAAGCAUGGGAAGUUCUGUUUGGAAGGUGAUUGUAUUAUGGGUCAUUAGAGCUGACUUGCUUUUGGGAGGUAGAUAUGGUUGGAAGAGAUGGGUUAUUGGGGGCAUAACCUGGGGUGUGUGUCCCCUUCUCCUCCUGCUUCAUGCUCUGCUCUGGCUGCCAUGAAGUGAGCAGCUUUCAGCUCCAUUCCCUUCCACUGUGCUGCUUCGGCCUGGGACCAGCUGAUCAUGCAACGACUGAAACUGCUAAUAUGCAAGCAAAAAUAACUUCUUCUUCUUCUUCUUUAAAUUGUAGUUGUUGGAUAUAGUGUUCCAACAAUGAGGAUAAUGACUAAGACACUUUCAUGGACUGUGCUUUUGGUGGCUUACCAAACAAAACAAAGCAAAACAAAACAAAACACAAAAAGAAAAAUACCUGAAAUCUGGAGCUUCUCUCCUGUUUUAUUCUGGGAGUUUAGGAUUGGAGGUUUUACUUUUACAUCUUUAACCCACUCUAAGUUGAUUUUUAUGAAUAGUGUAAGAUACAGAUUCAAUCGAUUCUUCUGCAUGUGGCUGUCUAGAUUUCCAAGGUCAUUUACUGAAGAGAUUAUUCUUUCCCCUGUUACGUCUUCUUUAUGCCUUUGUUGAAAAUUAAUUGACUAUCUUUGGGUUUGUUUCUGAGUCUCUUAAUAUCGAGUGUCCUUUAACAAAUUAUUGUAGUAAUAAUUAUUUUUAGUAGUCUUGUAUUUUAACUUUUAUUUUAGAAAUAAAAGUAACUUAUACACCAUCAUUACUGUGAGAGUACUCUGAAUUUGACUGUAUAUUUACUGUUACCAUUGAAUUUUUAAAUUUUAAAUGUUAAUUCAUAUCAUUUCAUUUCCUUAACAGCUUCUGAAAGGCAGGGUCUGGUGAUGAUGAAGCCCUUUGUCUUUUGUCUGGGAAUGUCUUUAUCCCUGUGUUAUUGUAGAGCACAGCUUUGCUGGGUACUGUGUGCUUGGCUGAUCUUUUCUCUUUCAGGACUUUAAAAUUAUCACCCAGUCCCUGGUUGGUUUAGAUGUUUGUGUUGAAAAGUCUGUGGAUCCUUUUGUGGGGUUCGUUGAUACACAAUGAGUCUCUUAUCUUUUGCUGCUUUUAAAAUUCUCUGUUUUUGACUUUUGACAGUUUGGUUAUAGUGCACCUUGCAAAAUUCUUCAGGUUGAUCUAUCUUGGGAUAUUUUUAGUAAUAUGAUUCCUAAUGUUUGUGUCUUCCCAAGAUUGAGAAAUUUUUAGCCAGUAUUUCUUUAAUUUAGGCUUUUGUUUCUCUCUGUUUCUCUUUUAUUUUCUGAAACUCCCAUAAUUUGCAUAUUCAUAUUCAUAUUCAUGAUAAUGUCUCAUUGAUCCUUCAUGUUUUCUUUAGUGUUUUCCAGUCUCUUGUUUUGUUUGUUCAACUAAUUGGCUAAUUUCAAACGAUCCACCUUCAUGUUUGAUAAUUCUUCUGCGUUAUCAAGAUUACUGUUGAAGUUUUCUAUUACAUUUUUCAGAUCUAUCAUUAUUUCCUUUAGCUUAGGUUAUCUGCUUGGUUCUUUUUUAUAGCUGCUAUAAUUUUUAAUUGAGCUACUUUCAUUCAUACCUUCUUUUUCCAAUUCUAUUAGUUGUGUAUUUUUCCCUUCUUAUAUCUCAUUGAGCUUCUGUAAGGUGAUUAUUUUGAAUGCUUUUUCAGGCAUUUUGUAGGUCUUUACUGUUUUGGUUGCUGCAAACUUUUUAGGCUCUUUUGGUGGUACCAUGUUUGCCUAAUUUUGAGUUACCUAUGCAGCCUUAUUUAGAUGUUUGUGCAUCUGAAGUACCUCUUAUAGUUUUUAGAUGCUCUUUGAUGGCUUCUCCAUUAGGUUGAGGCCAAUGGAAUUGCUUCUGAACCACAGUUGAGUGGGGUUGGAGCCGAGUCAUGCAGCUUCUGGCAUAUCCUUAGAGAGCUGCUCAGCUCCAGGCCUCCUUCCACGGGCUCCACUGGACAUGGAUUCAGUUGGGCCCCAGGUGAAUUAUAUGGUCUCAAGUACCCUUAGAUUGGUACUGGGAUGGAGGUUGGCUUAAGGGUCUUCACACAGUGAGCUUUUUCCAUUUGCAGAUGAAUGUGCAUGCUGAGUAUGAAGGCUGGGUUCCUGAGUGGGCUUCUGGGUAGGCAUAAUUUUGUUCUGGUCAGUGAUGGAGAAAGGCUAGGAGAGAGAGGGAUGUUCCAGGUUCUGUGGCUGUAACUGAGGUAAGGCAGGCCUACCGAGGUGACUCUGCUCCUGUGUUUUGUACCAUUGGAAGGAUGAAACUCUGAACACUGCUAGCAAGAACUCCCAAGGACUUUAUAUUCUACAGUCAGCACCAAGGAAGGCAUCAGGGGUGUAACUCCUCGAGCUCCCAGGAGGAUGGUUCUGAUAAUAGGACCAAGAACAAGCCAGGCUGUGUCUGAGUCCACAGGGAAUGUGAGCCAGUGGUGACUGCUCUAUGGUCUGUGAGCCCAUUGCCUGGGCACAGUUUUGCCUUCUCAGAAGGCCUUCCUAUGUCUUGGACUAUACUGAGGUUUUGCAAUCUCUUACCUGCAUCUUAAAGCUCUCAAAAAGGUACAUUUGCCUGUGGUUGGCUGUGAAGUUCCUGUGUUGUAGGGAAGAUUCUGGUGGGACCAUGCUAUUUGGCCAGCUUACCCUCUUAUGUUUCCUUGUUCCACUUUUGAGUCGGUAUUUUAGUUAGAAAGUCACAUAGGUGACACAGAUUGGAAUCAAGGUUAAUCCAGUGUCUUGGAUUAAGUGUCAAGGUUAAGCAGUGUCUUGGUUUCUUUUCUCAUGUUGCUGAUACAAAAUACCUGACACCCAAAAUGAGGAAAGGAAAGGUUUAUUUAGCUUACAGUUUUUGGAGGUUUCAGCCCAUACUCAGCUGGUUCCAAGGCAGGGUGACUAAAGGGCAGCUAUUUAUGGCAGCCACAAGCCACAGAGGGCCAGGGGCAAAAGGGAAGGAACACUCCUUCCCUCCCUUAGAUUGCAUGCCAGCUGCCCACCCGGGCAGGUGUAGGAAUCACACUUGUCGGCCCUCGUAGUACACAGUGAACCAGACAAACACUAGAGGCAGCUGCCUCCAUGACUCCAUGAGGCUUUGGGGGGACAACCAGACACAAACCAUGACAGGCAGCAAUAUCUCAGUAAACUGGAUUAAUGAGCCAAAUUUAACAUGAUGUAAUUUCACAGGAAUAAAAGCCAAAUUCACACCUAAAGCCUAAAAUGUGUCACAGCAUUCUCUUCUAUCUUUCCUCGUUUCUUUUCACAACCUUGAGCAGAGUUAAUUACUCCGUUUUGUGUCCCAUCAUUAGCACCAUAAUCUUACUGGAGCUUUUUCACACUGCACUGUUAUGUUCUGGAAUACUCCACCCGGCACUGUCAACAGCCCAGGACUGGGUCAGUCCCUUGUUAUUUCCUCACUGUGUUCUCCCCACACAUAUGUGAGGGAUCAGACACAGAUGAUCACAUAUUUUAUGAUUCUGUUUUUCUUUUCUCUGGUGUUGAGGAACAAACUCAGGGGCUUGAAAAUGCGAGGCAAGUGCUCUACCCCUGGGUUACCCCCUCCUCCAAGACAUAACUGAUUGCAUCAAACAAUUUAGUGGCAGCACCUUGGACAAGCUUUAGCAUCCUCACUUGGGGCAAAUGGCUUGAAUGUUAGAACUGAUGUGAUUCCCCAUAUCAAGAUGUUAAUAGUUAUGAACGAGUCAUGUCCAGUAGCUGGUCCUUCGCUACUAACCAGCAAGUGAGAUGAAAAGGAAAAAGCCACAGAACUAAAACAGAGAAACAAAAAUGACUACAGUGGGCAGGUAUAUUAGAGUUUAUUGAAUGUACCUGAACUCUUUGAUAGAUAAGAAAUGAAAGGAGGUGACCUUGCCAGGUCCACAAAGACACUCACUCUUUGCACUGGGACUCAAAACUUAAUUUUACUCUCACUGUGAAUAUUUUUAUAUUUUAUUUAUAUGAAAAAAACUUUGUCAGUAACAUGAGACAUAUUUCAUAUUGUCAUCAGUUAGUAAUUAUGCAUGAUAAAAGAUUUUAUGAUUAGCACUAUUGUCUAUAAAAGCUGAUACAGUAAUGUAAGUUUUCAUUUGUUUUCAUAAGUUUUCAUAAUGAGGAGUUCAAUCAUUUACCUCUGUUGCCUCAUUUAUAGAAGUUUUAAAGGAAAAGUACUCAUUUUCUUUAACUUUAUUAAGUCUUUAAGGCAUUAAGUAUAUUUCAGUGUUAUUUUAGUGUCAAAACAUCUUUUAUGUAAACCGUUGUUAUUUGACUAUCUUGGGAGUAGGGUGGGGAGGGAGCAGUGUAGAAAUCUGGAAGGGAAGGUUGUGAGGGGCAGAGGCAUCCUCUGUAUUCUUGGAUGACCACUGCUACCUCUUAAAGGCAUCAUUUCUUAAGGACACCUUUUUCUCCAUCUGAAAGUUUUUUAAAAAUAUACUUUUCAAUCAAAACUGGUAAAAAUUGUUACAAACUAUGGUGCAAGUGAGUUUAUAAUCAUAAGCACAAAUUCCAUGGUGACGUCUUCCAUCUGUACAAAGAACUAGUUUUAUAUCAUCUGUGCAUUUUUGUGGAUGAUUGCUACAAUACUGUUAAUAUAUUUUUGCAUUUUAAUUUUUAAUUAUUUGAAAAGGUAACAGUCACAUGGUGAAGAUGAAAAGUACAAAAAUAUGUACAGUGAAAAAUUUCCUCAAAGCAUAAAAAGCUUUUCACAUUUAUUUAUGUCUUCUAGAAAAUUCUUUAUUUGAUACAUAAACCCAUACAAAAAUAUUUUCCACUUUUUAUAUGAAAAUGUAUACUGCUGUUACUUAUCAACUUUAGUUAUUAUUUAUUGAUUUCUUUAUUCUUUUCUUUUGUACUGGGAAUCAAACUCAGAGCCUCGCACUUGCCAGGCAGGUGCGUAUGCUGUUGAACUGAGCAAGCUCCCCGGCUUAUCGAUGUAUUAUUAUUUGCUAAACUCCCAUUGCUCAUAACUAUUCUGGUGCUUUUUAGAAUUCCUCUGUGAUUUAAGUUUUUUACUAUAUGCCACUGAUAGUUUUCUUUUUGUGUCAUCAACUCUAGAUGACAGCUCUUGAUUCCUCAUUUUGUAAAAUAUGAUUGAUAGUAGCCCUUCCUUUUAUGUUCUUCCAAUUUAUAAUAUCUUUUUAUAAUUUUUGAUAAUGCCUGUGUUUUGUUCUUUACCCAUGAUUAAACCAUAAGUGACUUCUUCAGAGCUUAAAAUUUAAAAGUAGAAAAUCAAUAGUUUUACAUUAUGAUGACAAAUUAAUAUUAGUUAUUGACACGCUAAAGAGUGUAUUAGAAUAUUUCCUUUUGUAUAUAGAAUGAUUAAGGAUUUUACAAGCCUGUUAUUUCUUUGUUUGUGUUUAUCUCCUCCUUAAGUUUAUCCAGUGUCUUCAGGUCUCACGAUGCUUCAGGAUGGAUCAGGUUUGUGGAAUCUCUUUUGUGACAGGGAGUCCCUGACUUCGUUGUCUGCCUGUUGCUUCUUUCCGGGGUGACUGACCCUGGAUCAACUGCACAGCUGUAAGCGGACGUGAACCUUCGUUGUUCGUCUUAGCUGAAUCCAGAUUUGGGAAUUUAAUGUCUUUUUCUUCCUGGUUUACCAUAUAACUUCGAUUGAAAAAAUAUUCUAGUAAUUUCCUAAGAAGGGAGAUUGAAGGGUAAACCUUAUGCAUUCUUUGCCCACACAUGUCCCAUCGUAACUUUAUUCUCCUGAUGUGUGUCCGGUAAUAUCUUUACUCUACUCUACAGAUUAUGGGUUUGACCAGAAUUGGCUUCUGAACCAAAAAUAACCUCCCUAGUGUAACUGAAAGGCGUUUUUCAUUAUCUUUACCUUAUGUGAUUCUGAUGUGAAAUCUGAUGCCUGUCUCGUCUUUCAUUUGUGUAUAUGGCUUCAUUUUGCUCUCUGGAAGAUGCCAGGGAAUUUUCAUCCUCGGUGUUCUGAACGUUUUAACGCAAUCAGAGUUGGGCCUUUCAAAAUUCAUUUUUCUGGCUGUUUGGUAACUUUUUUCGAAGAGAGGAUUUAUAUGCUUUGUUUUGAUAAAUAUUCUUGUUUUGGCCUGGGGUUCAGAUACCUGGCAGUUCAGUCCUUGGCGGUGGGAUGAUGGGGGCGAGGCCGUAGCAUUCUGGUCUGUGAGUUUUUGUUCAUGCUGAUUGUUGUCAGCCAUCCAUCAUCUUCGAAACACCUGGCAUUUCUGCCUCUCACGUCUGACUCUACUUCUUCAGGGAAGGUCAGCUCCUUCUGGGCUGUAGCUCCCCCAAAAGUGUAUUUUCUGCUGGUCUUCCUUGACCCUGCUUCUGUUGGCCCAGUUUUCUAGAAAUGUGUUUUAUUCUUUCGUGUCAACGAUUCCCUGCCCAGUCUCUGCUCCUGUGCUUCUGUGCUGUCUCUGUCCCUCAGUGUAACUGGGAUGGGAACUGGAUGGGAAGGCAGUAAACUUGUGUGUUUAGUCAUCCCAGAGCCUGAAGAGCUCAGCUGAGUCCCAGGCGUGAUAGGACCACCUGGCAGUCUCGCCUCAGUGAUCACUCACUCAUCUUUUUCUGCAGCUUGGCGCUUGGCACCUUUUGUAAACACUGAAUAAGUGACUGCUGAAUUAUAGCAGGGUGGAAAAGAGAUUGUGUUUAGGAAUGGUAACCGCUUUAUAUUCAACUUCGGUCAGACUUUUAUUAAUAGAGUGAAUUGUGCUCCCUCAUCUCUACCCAUGAAAUACGUAAACAUUAAAAGGACAUUUGAAAAAUAAUGAGAUUUUAUGGGGCGUUUGAUGUCCCUCCACCUUACUUUACAUUAACAGAACUGCCAGCUUUACUGGUGUCAUUUUACAUAUUCUAGCUGAGAAAUGAGUAGUUCUUCUCAGUAUUCUUUGAACUGCCUAGUGUGUCCUAGCACUUACAAGGCUGCUAAAAGUUGACACUCUUUUAUAAUAUAAGCUAAGCUGAAUUUUAGCUAACAUAAGAAUAUUAUGGUGUCAUAAACUAAUAUUUACGAGAGCAUUUUAUGUAGUUUAAAGCACUAUAUGUGUUUGAGAUUUUUGGGUAUUACAAUGGUGACCUGCCAGAAUUGUUUUCUAAGCUUUGUUAUUUUGAGCUGGGAUUAGGACACUAAUUAGCAUGCUUCUGUCAUCUAUUUUUGUACUUCAAAUGGAGAAAGAAUGCUUUUGUAAUAAUGGAGUUGUGAACCUUAAGUAGCAGUAAUAGAGAUGAGACAGCUCUGCACAGUAUAUGAUUAAUUUCAGAUUUAUUUGUCUAGUGUAGACAAAAAACAUAGAGGCAGAUAUCAAGGGAAAAAGAAAGGACUGAAGCCACAUCUCAAAUAUAAAUGUAAUAUGGCUCCGCUGGUAGAAAUUACUGACCCCUGUCUGGUUCUGUUUGGCUAGCUCUGUUGAAGUAAUCAGUGCGCCCUGCCUCUCUGAGUGGAAGCGUGGUAAAGCCUGACCACCGGAAGGGCUGAGACCCUGAGUGAUCCUUGAACACAUGAACCCUGUCCUUUGUGCAAGUGAGCAUCUGUCUUCUUUCCCACUGUCUACUAUUUUGAUUUUUUUCAUUAUGUCCUGAAUCGAUGUGGUAGAAAAAAACAAUAUGAUUAAUUUAUAAUGUGUUCAUAACUAUGUUUGCUUGCACUUUUGUCUGUUUUUGUACACUUUGCAUAGGGAAGCAGUGUUCUGCUGCAUACUUAGCAGAACUACUAAGGAUGUUCUACUUCUCUUAUUUAGCAUUAGUUUGUAUCUAGCUCGCAAGACUGUGUGCUUUCAUAUGCACCGUCUUCUUUAAGGUGGUGAGAAUACUUAACAUGAGAUCUACCUUAAAGUUUUUCAAUAUACCGUAGAAUGUUAUUAACGCUAGCAUGAAGUUGUACAGGAGAACUUUAGAACUUGGUCACCUUGUAGAUGUACUGGUUGCAAGAUAAAGUGUUAACAAUGCCAGUAUGCCAAAAUAUACUGAACCUUUCAUCAUUAUAAGUUGCCUUGAUUCUAUUUAUUUACUUAUGUAUUCAUUUAUUCUUAGGGUAAUAAGAUAGGCAUCUUUAUUUAAAGAUCUUCUUUUGGUUUGUUUUUCUAGCGUAUAUCCUCAAAGUGGAAUUAUCAGGUCAGCCUCCUCAGCCUAAUCAUUUUACGGUGCUUUUUAGGGAGUAGAUUGUUCCAACCCAAGAGUAGCUAUCUUUGGUAAGGGCAACACGGAUCAAGUUGUCACCGGCAAGCCCUGUGGCAAAGAUUCCUCUUCCAACUUAGUUUCCAGUCCUACAGCUAGCCAAGCACUGAAUCUGGCAAGAAAAAGGUCCAGGACAAGUGUCCAGCGGGUGUGGGCUUGAGAAGCUUGGGUAGGAUGUCAGGAUGAGAGGUUUUGGAGACAUGCUAGGGUGAAGUAGCCACCAUUCACACACUUUCUUGGGCUGCCUCCAGUUUAUGCACAAAUCAAUCUGGAAAAAAAAGAUAAUUACUCUUUCAGGGAAUAGGUUUUGGGAAGCACUGACAGGGUCACAAAAAUGAUUAUUUUGAGAAAAUAGUCACUCAGAAUUAAAAGACUACUUUAUUUCCACUAACAUCAGACAUAAAAACGAAUGGUAAUGAAAACAGAGGCACAUUAUUAAUUGCAUAGCAUUUUAAUUCACAGGAAGUAGACUUGUAUGUGUUGCCCUGGCCUUUGUUUUUAGAGGGUGAAUUUUCAAAGGAGAGGUUAAUGAGACCAUGUAAAAUAUCAUAUAUGACGAAUGUUUUUGUGUUCUUUGGUAAAACUGUUUUUGGAAGAUUGCCUAUUGUUUUGUUUCCUUUCCUAAAGAUUCAAAUGAAGUUAUUAGAACUCAGACAUAGGAAAAGUUGAUUUUUUGUGUGUGUAAAGGGUCAUUUGUUGUAUUACACAGUGAUGCGUAGCCAUAUGUAAGCCCCCUUCUCCUGGAUGUAGGAUAAAUGGCAAAUAAAUGAAUAGGUCAAAAGGGAGUUAAAACAAAAGAAUUAUUUAGGGCUGCUCGUUUCUGGAAUGUCUCUCCUAAGAACUAUAAUUAAAUUAAGUAAUAAAGAUAUUAUCCCUAUCAAAGAUUAUUUUCAAGUCUAAGGCAAUGUAAUAUGGUAGUUAAUUGGUGAUUUUGUUUCCAACAGUACAGCUUUGUAAAUAUUUUCAUGUUCUUUUUUUUUUUUUCUUUAACUUUUUAUCGGUACCGGGGAUUGAACUCAAGACUGCCUGCUUACAAGGCAGGUGCUUAUGCCGCUGAGCUAAAUCCCCAGCCCCUAUUUUCAUGUUCUUAUGAAGGCCUAAACGUGAGGACUUUUCCCUCUGAGUAUUCCUUGCUUCUUUCUAGAUCCUUUCUGUGUCUGGCUAGGCAGUGGGCUGCUCUGCCUAACCUUAGCCUGCAGGUCCCAGGGAAGGCUGUGGUGGUUCCUGUGCUCGGCAGAGGGCUGCACUGGGAUUAGACUUCAGCGUUAAAUGCCACAGUCAUUAAAUGUUAGAGCCUAAGAGGGCUCAACCUCAGCAAGGAGGUCUGGAGAGGAAAAGUACUUAUGCUACUGCACAAAGCGUGUGCGUGGUGUCAUUUGAUGGCACAUCCGGGCUCCUUUCAUGUGCCAUGGUGUUUUCACCAGGCAGGGUAGGACACUGCCAUAUAUUUUUACAGGACCUUUGCUGGUUUGCCAAAGCAGAAGCCUGUAAACCAGAGACCCACACAAACUGGGGUCUAAGAGAUCUGCGGGAAAGUAGACUCUAAGGAUAGAUGGCAGAAAUGGGAGCUUAUAAUCAGUUCAUCAGACUUUUACAUUCUUCCAUUAUGAAUGUAAUGGUGGAAAUAUUUAGCCUUUCCAUUCUACUAAUAAGUUGUGGUUUAUUGUAGUUAGAAAAAAAAAUACUAGUUCUGAGAGUACUACCGGAUCUCUAAUUUCCCAUGAAUAUUUUCUUCACCUCCCCCCUCCAGCCCCAGCUCAGGCCUUAUCUGCUCUUCUUGUACCCAUUGCCACUUAAAAUAUGGGCACUUUCUACUUUCCAAAAACUGCUGUCCACUAAGACGCUUUUAUUUUCUCCCGGCUUAAAUUGCUGAUUUUAGGCCAAAAGCUCAAAGCCAGUAUCAACUCUAUUCUUGCAGCUGAUUCUGAAUGCCUUUCAGCCACACAGCAUUGGAUUGUGGGCACCCCCGUCUCCUCUCCACUUUCAAAUCCAGGACUUCACUGUCUGGGGAAUGAUCCCUUUGUAGGUUCAAUGCCUUCUGAACGUUAAGAUUCUGCCAAAUAAAUAAAAUGAUAUGUUUAUUUAAAAACUAAGCUGAAUAGGCUUCUCUAUACCUCAACAACAAAUGAACAGUAUAUAUUUGUUCUUGGUGGAUCGAGCCCAAAAUAAAAAUAAACCCUCUAUAUUUUAGAUCCUGAUCAAAUUACCAAUGAGGCUCUGUACACUUACCUCCUUUAAAGAGUAUAUUUAUAGCAAACCAUCAGGAACAGAUAUUCAAAAUGAGAGAGGAUUAAAAACCCAUAGUGUGAUUAAUGUUACAGACUUCCUUUGGAUAUUUUACAGAAUACUAAUUUUGUUGUCCUGGUGAUUAUGUCAGAAUCUAUCACGAGUUUAAUUCUAAGUGAGAAAUACACUGUUAGAAAUAAAUCUUAAGGUUUAUUUUGUAGUUGCACCAGUAGCUCAUGUUAGUAACUUUUAUUCUGUUGUUUCAUUGAGAGGGGAAAAUGUAUCAGUAAAGUUUUUUUAAAUGGAUGAUGUUUUCUGGAAUAUUAACAAUUUUUUUUUACUUUACUCCUUCUAGAGAAUCCUGAAAAUAUAUAUAAUUUAUUAUUUUAUUUCCCUUUUUGUUUUUUAAUUCUCUGAGUAGUUGUUUUCAAAUUAGGAAACAUUUGAGUUUGUCUACAUUUCAUAUUUUGCAGGAAGAUUCUUUUUCUAAACAAAAUAUUAGAAGAGUCUGAAUAAUACAGGUUUCUUCCAACUUAGAGGAAAGGAGGUCCCUCUUGGAUAUUGUCUGAUUCAUUAUAAAUUGCAGCUUUAGAAUUUAGAAAAUUGUGUCAUAAAUCAUGAUGUCAUUUCCAGGUAAUCGCAUUUGGGCAAUGUCUCCCUUGAGAAAGCAUUCUUGUCACAACAGCUGUGUCAUUCGUGGAGCUGUAGGAGAGAGGUUUAGGCAGAUCUGAAUCGUAGUGUGACAAGUGUGCUGCCUGGACACAUUUUUGUUGUUACUGCUUGUUGGAAGAAAUAAAGUUCAUUUAAACCAAAAUAUCAGCUUCCGCGUCAAGACAGUUUAUUCAGAUUAACACACGGUUAGGCACUGUGGCAGUUGGUUAUCUUGGUACAUUUUCUUUCAUAAAAUAAAGUCAAAAGACUGAAGUCUCAGAUAAAUAAGAGAAAGGAAAGAGACUGGAUAUUGGAGGUUGGCUUGUCCUGUCAUUCUGCCACUGAUUAAUUAGUGGUGACCUAAUAUGUUUACCUUUCAAGCGUAGUAUCACUCUCUGAACAAUGCCUAUUCAUUCUGCAAGUACUCUUUGUGUGUCUAUCAUGUGCAGGUGCACCUGGCACUUUGCUAGGUGAUGGGAAUAAUGUAAUGAGUGAAAGAAAAACAGUCCUUGAUCUCAUGGAGUUGACAAUUUGGUAGGAAAGCCAGACAUGAAAGAGAUAAUUACAUGAAUCAUACAACUGUAGUUAUACUAUGAGCAGAAAGCAUGCAGAGCUAAGUAGCAAAAUUGGAAUAAUACUGCCUUCUUUUCAAGGCCUUGACACAUAAAAAGCACAGUAAAUGGUGGUAAUGAUCGAUAAAAGUGUUAUUAGCAUUUUUAUGAUGUCAUCUCGGACCAAAACAUGAGCACAUGUGGACAGACAGGGCAGACAAUUAAAUGCAUGCUGCGAGAUGAACUAAUGAAACUGAGUGAAUUUAAGUGCAGGAUGUGUAAGACGAGAUCACAUGAUGAAAAUAAAAACCAUCCAGGGUGUACAAGGCACCUACCAGGAGUGACAGUGGCCAUUACUUUGAUGAGGUUUUGACUGUUUGGUGGUAAAGCCCUGUCCCAGCAAGGCUGUUAGGUCCAGGUUACUGCCAGAGGGUGAGUUCUAGGAGUUGCCUUUAAAAAGAUGCUUUUGUGUUACACUCUUUAGCUUUUAGGGGCAACCCUACCCAACCCCAUAUGCAUGCAUGCAUACAUACAUGCGUACAUACAUAUGCAUGUACACACGUCUACGUGUGUGUGUAUAUGUGUAUGUGUGUACUUGUGACUUCCUCUGCAAGGCCUACAAUGUAAAUAAUACAAUCUUUUGGCUUGCCUGGGCUGCACUGAGUGAAGAGGAAUUGUCUUGGAUCACAAAUAACCACAUAACAAAUAUUUAUUUUUUAUAUAUUUUUAUAACAUGAGAAAAAGAGGUCAGACUAUCGAUUGGACAAGCCUGAUUAAUUUGUAAUAAGUCAGGAAAGAAAGAGUUUUCCCAGGCCUUCAUCCUGCAGUUAGAAAUGAGGCUACCUUAAAUCUGGAAAUAGAAAUUCUCUAAAGAGUUCACCUAGAAAUGAAAUACUCUGUGAGCCCUCAGGUUAGUUUCAAGAAUGUCUAUUCUGUGUGUGGCUCUGCUCUCUUGGCAUGGCAGGGUGAUAAGAGGAAACAGUAAGGUCCAGAGUGAUAACCUCAUUAUUACAGUGCGUACCUCACACAGCCAUCGUGGAGGGAAAGCUUGUUGACUCUUGGCUGAUGAAAAGCAGCAUUUUCUGCAGCAAAGACACUAUUCUGGGAAUGCCUGCCCUAUUUCAGGAAAGAAGGGGAUGGAAGAGAAUUGAAUUCUGUAGCCAAAUUACAUGGAAUGCUGUGUGUAGAAUUCAACCAUGUUUUCUUCCCUAUUAAUAGUCACGGUAUGUUGGGAGUUCAGCAAAGUGAUUUGCAUCUAGAAUCUAGAAUUCUUAGAAUAAGACUGAGAGGUAGAUAUAGUUAGGACCAUUUUAUAGUUGGGAACAAUCAAAUGUGGCACCUCCAAUAAAUAGACCAGCUUAUUUCUGAACUUGAGUUUUGACUGUGAAGCUGGCUUUCUUAACUGACACCAUGUCUGUUUUUUCUCUUGCUGUGGAAGCUGCAUGCAUACGCACUGUGUCGUUUGCCAUUCUAGCCCUACAGGCUUGUCUGGUACCUGACUCUGGGUGGAGUGUAGCAUCCCAUGGGUUGUAAGAGACAGAACUCUGGCUCACAGCAGUGUAAACAGAAAGCAGACUUCAUUGUGUCUUGUGAAGAGAAACGCAGUGGCUAGGUGUAGCAUGACAGGACAUAGGGGACAGAUGGUGUCAUCACAACUACCUUUCUUUGCUUCUUUCUACGAGCUUCCCUGGGUUGGCUGCUUUCCCAGGAAGACUCUCCAUGGGGAGGCAAUUAGAACAACCAACAAUUCGAAACUACUGAGCACAGAAAUAAGAGGUUCUCUCCUUCAAGCUGUUGCAAAAAAAGCCCUAGGGGUGUCUCUGAUUAGCUUGGCGUGGGUCAAAUGCCCACUCCUGAAAUAAUUACUAAACUGGAGAGAUGUUGUCUGUAUCCCUGGAGCUGGAUGGUGGAGGGGUCAAGCCUCCUCUAAUCCUGUAGUUUCUUAGAUAUAUUGAGUUGGAAGAAACCUGUAUCUACUGCAAAAACUAUUCCGUAAAUAUUUGCUGAACAGAAUGAGGGAAGGAAAGAAUACCUUCUAGAGAACCUUCAGAGGUACAAAAAAAUCUAAAAAUAAGGUGUCACAAAUUAGGGCAUAUAUUACAGCAGCAGUGUAUUUUUGUUGAGUUAAUAUAGGAACAAAUGAAUAACAUUUUGAAGGAAGAUAGAAUCUGUUCCUCAGAGAAAGAAUAAGUGCUCCUUUGUAGGGUAAGGAGGACUUAAAGGGGUGCCCAUGAAGUCAUUUUGCUUGUAUGCUCCUCGGAGUCCCCCUCAGAUUGGUGCAAUGGAAAGAGGAGGGUCCAGCUGAGUCCUCCGUGGCAGCGGUGUAAAUGCAAACACCGAAGGCUCUAGAAAGGGGAGCGUCAAGUGGGAUUUUUGAAAGCCUUGUGCAUAUCCUCCAGGUUUAUGCAAAGUUUGCAUUCUAUUUUAUGAUGUUUUCAAGGUUGUUUAAGGAGUUCGUAUUUAAAGUUAAUUACCAUUGAGAAGAAGGAAAACAAAAUGGACUUCCUGAUAGUCUUGGUGGAACAGAAAGGUGAUGUUUAAUUGAAUCUUACCAAAUUUGAAAAAUUGCAUAGAACUGAAGCAGCUGAUACCAACAUCGGGUGCAUGUUCCAGGCACUUCCUUGGUCUCAGUAUUUUUACAUUUCAGAAACACAUUAGAAGAGACUUCAUACUCACUUAGAGGAGACGCUUAAAAUCUUGUUUCAAGAAGUGGGGAGACGGAGGGUCCUUACGCUCCUGUUCAGGGAAUCUCUCUCUUUUCAAAGGAGUAUAUCAUUAGUCAGAAGGUCUCUGGUCUGUUUCUGCUCCCAUCUUAGAAACACAUGUUCAAAGGACUGUCAGUGUCAGAAGAAUUCUGAUGAUCAUAUUUUACAUUUUUCCUGUAUUUUAAAUUUUUCUCAUGCAUGAUCUGGCUGUCCCAAAUAAUUCCUAGUCCUAGUCCUUAUGAUCAGUGAUUCUCAUCCAACUCUCACAUUUUACUUUUAUUGUAGCUGACUUGUGUGGUGUAAAAAACCAGCUUUGCUAUUUUUUCUCUCAGCUGUUGCUUGAGUGUAAAAUAGCCAAUUCUGGCUUGUUACGGAAGCACACACUUAGAAUUUCAGCAUUCUGUAAGGGUGAGGAAACCUGACGAUCUGAAGUUCAAGCUCAAUCUGGGCAAUUUAGUGAUUGAAAAGUUAAAUUAAAAGGAGAAAGAGAGAAAAGAAAAGACAGAAAGAAAAGCAAGCAAGCAGGGAGGAAAUAAAGUGAAGAAAAAAAAAGGAAAGAAAUUAUGAAAAAAAAGAAAAGAAAGGAAUUAAGCAAUUGAACAAGCUGGAAAUGUAGCUCAGUGUGAAAGCCCUGGAUUCAAUCCCCAGCACACUCCUCCCCUGUGCCCUGUAGUCAGUUUGUGUCAUUAAGACAAAGAGUGGGUUUAUUCAGUAUAUCUAGCUUUUUUUUUUUAAUGAAUAUGGAGGAUUUUCCCUCAUGAAGAAAAAUAAGAAUUGAACCUUGUAUUCAAAAAAUUUUUUUUUUUAUUUAAGAGGAAAAAGAGAAAAACACAAAACAAAACAAAGCAGUGUAAGGUUACACAUAAUACAGAACUACAAAAAAAAAAAACAUAACAGUAAGAAAUCACCUGUUAAUAGAUUACAUAUUAUCAUCUUGGAAAUAGUUGCUCAAAUCACAGUAUCAAAGAAUACAAAGUAGACAUUCAAACAGAGAGACUGCAAACAGCUGUGUUCAAUGAUCCAAAAACAUUAAUAUAGUCAGCUAUUUAACAGCCCUAUACACACUUGCUGUUAUAUCCGUUAGAGCUCUUUUUUUUUCCCUUCCUCUCUUUUUUACAACAAAAUUUACACAUUUUGGAUUUUAUUACUCCUUAGUUCUUAUUACUUUUUUGGGGAGGGGAGAGAAUAAAGUCAAAUAUGGCAAAACAAAGCUGUCAGUCAAAACCAAGGAUAGACAUAGCACAUGAUGUAGAACAGAGUACAAGGUUAUCAACAAUGGUUAUCAACAUUGUCUCUUGUUUCCUUAAAAAGAAUUGUCUAUCUCAUUAGAUAUUAUAAAGUUGGACAAAACAGUAGAGAACAAGACCAAUAAAACUUAGGCAUUGUAAACAUUACAGGACUUCCAAAGGAGACAAUAGUCAAACCAGAAUGGGCAUCUUUGUGAAUCUUAUUGCCUUUAAAGUAGUUGUCUAUACCCUCAGACUUGAUACUAUCGCACAGAAUGGAACAGAGUCUAAUCAGUCAAAACAAGAUCGUGGGAAUAUUACAGGACUUCAAAGCAAGUUAUUCAAAAAUUUUUAGCAGUGCCUUUUGCUAGGUCAACCUAGAAGUCAUGUUAAUGUGUUUAUAGGUUUGCUGUAGCAGUAUUCCGUUUACAGCACACGUGUGUUAAAAGUGGUUCUGACCCACCUGGCACCUAAGAUUCAGUCUCUCUUAAGACUGACCUCUGGCGUUCUGUAAGGAAUGACCAGGAGCAGAGUGGACUAGCUCUCCCAUUGGGGUGAGGACUUGACGGUCUGUCUGCUCACUUGACAGACUUUCAGGCAGGGCAUCGGUUUACAGCUUUGCCUUUAGCAUGGUCUCCUGGUUUCCUUUUCAAGGUUUUUACUCUACUGCCUUGAAAGCGGAAGUUAAAUAUUUCUUUCAAACACAUGGGAACUGUGUCAUUCCACAGUGAUGCCUUUCAACUUGGUUAUUCUGCUUCUUUUCUCUGAAACUGUUUUGACCACAUCUCAAGUUUAGGGCUUCAACAAAUUUCCUCUCAAUAUGCGAGCUUUCCUGAUGAAGAGAUUCUAUAACCAGCCUUGAAGACAGCUUUGACCAGUCACUUUUAUUUGUUUGUUUUAUGGAGCUUUAUAAAUUGCAUUGCUUCUGGCCAAUGUGUCCCUUUUUAGUUUCAAAAGAUUCUGGCAGCAGUCCUCCUGGCUUUGAUUGGUUUUAUAAAAUGUUAUUCCAAGACAGAUAGCUCUGUAUACUUCUUAUGCAUUUUCACAUGAGAGGCAUGGAUGUGAGCCUCAUACGUCUGUACAUAACCAAAAUCAUAUAUUUUAAAGAAACAGCCUCUGCUCUUUCAAUGGACUAUUGCUUAUCACUAUGGAUUCAUUAACUGUGGUCCAGGGAAUUCUUCCAUCAUCAACUCGUUGUGGGGACUCUCAGGAGCAGUGAGUGGCGUAUCUGCCUCAUUUCUCAACUGUUUCAGGUUAUAAUUAAUUUUAAUCAUUCUCUUGCACAUUUGCAUUGUUUCAUAACCUCUACUUCCCAUUUCAAGAGCAUUCUCAAUUUCAAAUGCAACUUUUAAAUCACUGCACUUUAAGCAGGUAAAUGAGUAAUUAUCAUAAAAGUCUAUGCUUUAUGACUUGGGUUACUUUUAUGCUGGAUUUUUAAUUGGAUUUGAUUGUAGUUAUAUGCUAGUAAAUAAGAUUUUUACUCAAUUGCAGUUAUAAAAAAAGAUGAACCCGGGGGAUUUUAUGUAAUCAAAAUUAAAACAAACAAAAUAGACAAAAUAUUUCAUACCAUGAUGAGACAAGCAUAAUUUUUAAAAAGCUGGCUGGCCCUUAGGGUCUCUAGGGAGUUCUAAACUGUCACAGAUUCCAGCUAUGGGACAAGGGAGGGGACAGCACUGGCUUUGACAGUUUCUUACAUAAUACAGUCUUACUAAACUAGUGCACAUUUUCACUUUGGGGGGUUGGCAGUUGUGGUAUUUAGAGCGUGCUGUGUUUUCCAAUGUCUUACAGCUUUCAGGAGAAAAAAAAGUAAAGCCCAAAUCAAAUCAAAAGCUCUGAAAGUAGGUAUCUUACUAAUUUGCAUGAAUAUGAAAAUCGAAGGGAUUUCAGAGAUCCCACCUUACGCCUCUCGCCUGCCUCCCUUCAGUCACUGAGGAGGAAACACCAUAUAAUCAAGGCAACUUUCCAGAGCAGUGCACUUCAGGGUGGAGCCUACCAGGCGGGUCACAGGGAGGAAGCAGGAGACUGAAAGACUUGUCUGUAUCUCAAGUAAUCAAGCGGUAGUUAUUAAGUAUUCUAAAAGUAUCAUACUUGGAGUAGAUCUGCCUAAAAGAAACACUGUAAAUAAAGUUAAUCUGAAAGUUCCACUUUGAGUUAAAUAAACCUUUCCUCCUUUAACUUGGGGGUUUCAGGUAGUUUGUCUCAGCAAUGCACCUUUAAGUGAUACAUGUAUGUUUCAAAUUGAAUAAUUUUGAAUAUAGAAUGGUUUCUUAUAGUGAUGGUGUCUUACAGUUGCUCCCAGCCAUGAAGUUACAAUUGCCUGGACAAAUGUGAGUGUCCGGAGUACCAAUAGCAAACUUUGCAAAAUGUGCGUUUGCAGUUUGGAAGGAAAGUCUGCAGAUACUUGAUGGAUGGAGCAGUUCGCGAAAUGCUGCACUGUUUGUGCGGAGGUAGUAUUGUACAGGGGAACAUGGGCCUGAGUUGUUUGGUGGCAAAACAAUUCAUAGUUGGAUUUCCAGUAUGAAAAAAAGUUAGGAUUCUUAACUAAUUUGCUGUUCUGCUAUUUCUUUCAUAUGUACACCCAAAAGUGACAUAAUAAAAAUGUGUGUAUAGAAUAAGCAUUGUGUCAGUUUUAUUGACGUUUAUCUCUUUCUUAUCUAUAAAAUAAUGGUGCGUCUUACAAUACAUGGAGCUCUCGAGCUCGUGAGUUAUGGUAAUUGAGAGUUUUGGAAAGUCCCUCUAACCUGCUUUUCUCACAAUGGAUACUGAAUGUAUAUAAUGACAUUUUUCAACGGAUAGUCAAUUAUAAUGCUCCCAUACUGGCUUAAGAAUAAUCACAGAGAGGGAGUAGGUUUCAUAGAACUGCUUCUAUGCCUUCUCUCCUCUGAGCUUGAGAGGAUUCCUCCAGCAUGCACCUCAAUAAAAGCAUCUUAAUGGGGGUGAGCAUGGUGACUAUGAUGAGUUACACAGCUUCAGAGCAGCACGGACAGUGACUCACAUAAGACACUGGAAAAAACUUUUGGUUCAUGCACUCACUUUUCUUUCUUACAAAACCCUCCCCAUAAAUUACUUGCAAAAUUCUGGGAGUGUAGCUCAGUGGCACAAGUGCCUGUCUGGCAAAUGGCAUGGUCUGGAGUUUAAUUUCUGGUACCGAAAAAAAAAAAAAAAAAAAAAACAAAACCCAAAACCCAAAAUCAACUCUGCACAACAUUCCCUACCUGCCAAGUGACUUGUGUUUUUUUUAAGCCAAUUAGUAUUGGAAGACUAUUUACAAAAAUUAUGAUUUUGAUGUCUAAAUUGUUGAAAGAAAAUCUAUUUUUCUUUAUCACUGUUCUGUUGUAACACUAGUUGUCCAUUAAGGUAGUAAAACUGAAAACACAGUCUGGAGGCAUCUUAUUUCUAUAUUCUGUAUUGUGAUCUUAAGUUAUUAAGAUGAGGGUCGAGGGGCUGGGGAUUUAGCUCAGCAGCAUAAGCGCCUGCCUUGCAAGCAGGCAGUCGUGAGUUCGAUCCCUGGUACCGGUAAAAAGGAAAAAGAAAAAAAAAGAUGAGGGUCAAACAGAAGGGGACCUGGGCCAUGUCCCUGUUCUUCUGCUCUCCUGUAAGAUCAUCUUGACUGGUCUUCCUUAAAUGCUGGUGUUACACCAAUUUCAGCAGCCUCUGGGCUCUGUGCAACCCACUGAGAUGAAGCAAAACUGAGUCCUGACACAGGGCCAGAAACCAAGGGAGACUCAACGCAAACUACAGAGUAUUCUGUGCUGUUCAGGGAGGUCAUCCUGGUGAGGACUUACUCUUAAUAUGGAAGAUUACAGUGGCUGAGUCUGAAGGCUUUGGCUAUCAUGGAAAAGGCCGGACAUUCUUUAUAAUGAAGAAACUGCUUGGCAUUACAUUUGAUGGUGUAGUCAAUUCAGUAUUAUUUUUUAAAUAAGAAAGAAGCAUGCAAGAUCACAGUAAAAAAAAAUGUCAAAAUUGAACAUGCCUAGACUAGACCUUGAAAUUUGUGAUGGCAGGAAGUCUUUACUGGGCUCACUUUAUCAGAAGGUUUUAAAUUGUUACUUUGUGUAAGAAUAGGCAUAAGGAGACAUCAAAGAGAACCAGUCUCAAUCUGUAUUUGAAUGUGAUGUCAUGUUUAUUUUACUCUAUAGUACAUUAAUAGAGCAGAGAAAAUUUUUUGUUUCAAAAACUAGAUAUCCCAAGUUUUGAGUUGAAAAAUGAGAUGUCUUAGAGAUGCACUGGGAUGUGUUAGAGAUGCACUGCAAUGUCUUGAAGAUGCACUGGGAUGUCUUAGAGAUGGACUGGGAUGUCUUAGAGAUGCACUGGGAUGUCUUAGAGAUGCACUGUGAUGUCUUAGAGAUGCACUGGGAUGUCUUAGAGAUGCACUGGGAUGUCUUAGAGAUGCACUGUGAUGUCCUAGAGAUGCACUGGGAUGUCUUAGAGAUGGACUGGGAUGUCAGAGAUGCACUGGGAUGUCUUAGAGAUGCACUGUGAUGUCUUAGAGAUGCACUGGGAUGUCUUAGAGAUGCACUGUGAUAUCUUAGAGAUGCACUUAGAGAUGCACUGGAAAAUGGAAAAAUUGAUAGUGAUUCAGAAGAUACCAUUAUUUGUGAUAAUUCGGAAGGGGUUAGUAAGAUGUUUGAUUUGCGUGCCUGUGAAAGUUGAAUAGGUACAGCAUCCACACAAGUAGAAAAGAAUAAGGCAGCUUACUUCAAAGCAUGAUGAAUCUCUUAUUUACACAGAGUAAAUGGCCAGAUCUGCAGUUUCCAGUGUGUGUAGCGCCAGUUUAUAAGCUAACGUGGACUAUUCAUUUGACUUAGGGAAUUGGACUGAAUUUUAAACCAAAAGGAAACCAUUAAUUUACUCUGAAAGGGAAAGAAAAAUCACCUAAUAAACUAAUACAAUAUUUUCUUUUUUUAGCAGCAUAUUUUUUUUAUUUAAAGAGAAAGAAAUGAAAAAAAUACAUGGAGAUUAAAAAGCGUAGAAAUAAUACAGAGUUACAGAAAAAUAAAUGGUAAGAAAUCACCAGUUGAUAAGUUACAUAUUGUCAUCUUAGAAAUAGCUGUUCAGGUUACAAAAUUAAAGUAUGUAAAGUGACAUUCAAAUAGCGACACUGCCAACAGUUCUGCUCAGUGAUCUAACAAAAACUUAGUAAUAUGGUUAUCAGUCCUACACACUUGUUUUUUAUCUUAAAGAGGGUAAGAUUAAACACAUCAUAACAGAACAAAACAGUUAAAAAAAUCUGUAUUUAAAGAAAUACAGAUUUCAAAGCAAGUCCACUGGAGAUCUUCACUGUUUAUCUAAUUGUCUCUAGUUUCUUCCAAAUAGUUGUCCCCAUCUUCACGCACAUUAAAUACAUACUACAUAUUAUAGAACUAAUCAAAUCAUUACAGGAUGAUGAAGGCUUUUUAGAUCUUCAGGAUCUGACAUUGGGGAAGACAAUAAUAACUACCAUAGUGUCUCUCAUUCUCUUCGUAGUAGCUGUCCUUGUCUUUACAUAUGCUGAAAUUGAACCUAAGAGACUAGACUAAUAUCACUCUGAACAGUGAAUAAUAGUAUUGCUAGAUUUUAUAUCAUAAUGCUACAAAAUUAGCAUUGGGUUUCUUAGUGUCUCUUCUUCAGAGUAUCUGUUUAUUACAUCUUACAUUGUAUUAUCUGUUCCUGUAAAUAGUUUUUAAAUAAAUCUUCUCAUGUGUGAAUUUCUACAUGUAUAUCUAUCCUCUCUGUAUUAUAGGGAAAAACAAAUCAUAACAAGACAGCAAAACAAAUUCCUAGAAAAACAUGCAAUGAAAAAAGACACAUAAGACCACAAUAUUAGGUGAUCUACCAUAGUUACUAUGCUUUCUCUUGUUAUUUUUAAUAGAUUUGUCCACAUCAUUGGGCUUAAUAUAGUUAAACAUAGUAUUACCUAGCUAUUUUUAUAAAAACACAACUUUGAAAACAUUGUAGGACUUGAGAGCUGUUAAUAAUCAAUACCAGUAUGGAUAUCUUUUACAUCUUGUCAUCUUCAGAGUAGUUGCCUCUAUUUUUAGGGUUGAUACUAUCAAGCAUACCAAAUUCAAAUAAAAUUAGCCAAGGCAAAACUGUGGUAAUACAAUAUUUUCUGAAAAGUAUAAGACUGGCUUACAGCUAGGAAGUCAGAGCAUUCUUAGAUUUGAUCCUGAACCAUUAGAUUUCUAUUUAAUUAGUACCUCUGAUUGUGAUAUGCUAGUUACAGACCACUCCUAUAAAUUCAUUCUCAGAUGAGCAAUUCAUUAUGACUUGGUUUUAAAAAAUAAUUUUGCGGGGCUAGGGAUUUAGCUCAGUGGCAUAAGCGCCUGCCUUGCAAGCAGGUAGUCAUGAGUUUGAUCCCUGGUACCGAUGAAAAGGAAAAAGACAAAAAAAAAAAUAAUAAUAAUUUUGCACUUGAAAAAAUUAAAAUGAAUUUCCUAAGAAAUAUUCUAUAAAUCAAACUUCUUUUUAGACAGAUACACUUUCAAUAAUGUAAGUCUGAAUUAGUAAGGCUUGAGUCUAAUUGCUUCAUUUUCCUCAUUCUGAAUAACAGGAUCAUACCACUUUUUAGUCCACAAAGCUGAUAAUAAAACCACCUUAGCUCUUAUUUAUGAGUCAGAUCCUAUUCUCUGGAGUGCCUUUGCCUAAUGAGCAAACAUCAGCUGUGUAUCUGAAAGAAUAAUUGUUCUUAGGGAAAUAAUUACUGAUUUAUAAUGACUGACUUUUUGAGAUGGAAAGAUCUGUUCUUUAUUUUCUUCUUUUGUGCCACAUCCAUGUCAAGCUGAAAAGUCAAUGAGAACCAAGCAUUUAAUUGUGUAAUAAAUUACUUGAAAUAUUAAUUAAAUUCAAGUAAUAUACAUAUUGAGUGGUAGUAAAAGAUGAUAAAGUCAGGCUAUCAUUAGAUGUCAAAUGAACACUGAAAUAGUAACUAUUUUAUAAUUCUGGGAGAGGGAGGAAUCAUUUGAUCCAGUCAAUAAAAGAUUUGUGAUUGGCAUAGGUGUUAAUCCGGGCCUUUAAUUAUAGUGUAGCAUUUUUAAUAGAUUAAGAGGAAGAGUGGAAAAAUAGAAAGGUUGUUAGUAGUAGUAGCAUGCUUAGCAAGGACAAAGGUAAAAGAAAUAGACUGUUGAAUGGAGGCCUCAGCCAUCUAUUCAUGCCUGCCACGUAUAAUACAGACCAAUCUAUAUUCACCAGAACUGUCAGUGCCUGCAAAGGCUGAAGGACUGAGUCAGAGGGAAGGAUGAGGAGAUAUGACAGCAAAAUGCAAUGUGUAGUUCUGAAUUAGCACUUGGCUUGAGAAAAAAUCUACAAGGAAUAUUACUGGGAAAAUUUAUGAAAUUUGAAUAUAGGGUGUACUUGAGAUACUGUGUUAUACUGAUAUUGAAUUUCCUGUACUUUAUGUGUAGAGGGUACUUAUGCAUUGGUUUCCAUAACAAAAUACAAUAAAUUGGAUGCUUUAACACAAUAGAAUCACAUAGUUCAUCAUUCCAUUUCCAGAUGAGGUAAUGUUCUUGGGUUCCAGGUGAACAUGAAUUUUGGGAGUGGGUACUAUUCAACGCAGUCCAGAGUAAAUAUCAGACUGUUCCAGUUUUUAGGAGAUAGAUAAUGAAGUAUUUAGGGGUAAAGAAACAUGACAUCUCUAACAUAGUUUCAAAUGAUAGUGAAAUAAUAAUAAAAUUAGGUGUACAUUUAUGGAGGAGACAAAAACAAAAUGUAUAAUGUUAAUAACUAAUAGAUGUUAAUGAAGGGCAUAAGAGUUUUUAAUUUUGAUAACCUUUUAUAGGUUUGACGUUUUUGGAAUAAACAUAUUGUAGCAAAUAAAAUAAUACCACACACAAAAAACUCAUAAAUGUUUUUCUUUGGACGUGGUCAUGUGUGAGAUGGUCAUUCCAUAAAUUGCUAACUGUGUCUGCUAGUGUAAGAUUGCUGCUGACCGAGUCACAGAUGGGUUUUUGAUGUGAGAAUUCCCAGCUGAUCUUGUGCUCUGCACCAUCUCUGUUCUUCCCCUUGUGGAAUAAUAUUGUAAUGGUGUAAGCAGUGAGGAUUUUAGUUUCUUGCAGCCAAAAACAUCCUGCCUCAAUCAAUACUGCACCGUUCUGUGCUAUAUUAGCCAGUUAAAGUCAAUAUUAAUGGGGGAAAUGUUAAUACAUUUCAUUUCUUUGAAACAUAUAUACAAAAAUCCACUUGGAUAUUUCCAUAUUUUAUUCAUAUUUAUGAAAGUAAAUUAAAUUUUUUCUAUUAAAAUUUCCAUUUGACCUCAAAGGCAGUUUUCAAGUUAAUAUUUGGCAUUUUGCCCAAGAUUUUGACCUAUAAUAGCUGAUCUAAUUGUCCCUGUGAAUGUCCGUGAUGGCACUAUACAUUCUAGAGAUAAGUAAAAAUGUGUAUACAUUUCUCCCCUUGACUUUAUUCAUCAAAGAAGUAGCUCUCAGAAAGAAUUUGAUUUUGGGGGGGCAGUUUUAAUUUUUAUGUAUUUUAUGAAAUUAACACUGUUGAAUAUAGAUGGUAUACUACGUAAAGUCUCAGAAACAUAUUUAAAAAUUUGUUCUACUAUAAUGCUUGUGAACUGCAAAAUGCAAGUAUCUUGCAUUUUCUCAAGUAAAUAAAAUGUAACAGGUAUUCAAAAUACAGUAGGGGCAGCCCUUUGCGAGGAGAGACUCCCUAGCUAGGGUAAGGCAGGAAGUGGAAAUGGGGUCUUCUCCAAGCAGACGUGCUGGUCCCUGUCAAUCUUGCAGAGGGCCAAGGGCUCGAGGGCCCGGAGAUUGAGUGUAAUGGCAGGAGAGCCAGCGCAUAAAAUUCCCACCGAGCUCAUUCUCAUCCACUCAGCAUGACCUUGACACGAGCAAAACAGUCACAUGGUCCCUUCAUUUCUUAGAAAUGACUGAAUGCUGUCACAACGAAGGACUUUUAUUGAACAGUGUGACAUGAAGAAGAAAGAACAUUGUCAUGAAAUACAAAACUGUAUAUUAUAAAAGAAAGCCAUGGAGGUAGUUAGGGGUGCAUUUUCUGCUCUCUAAUACCGACCUCACUUUAAAAUAUUCCAGGCAUCAGAUACUGUUGUGACAGGCUGGGUCUCCACAGUGUUAGAAAUACAUGGUGCAUUUCUGUGUGACGCUUAGGUGGAAGGCCACGGGUGUGUUCGGGUAAGCACACGUGUUUCGGGAAAUAUAUUUGCAGAAAUCUGAGGCAGGAACCAGAGGAGUGGGCCUAGCACACAUGGGAGCCUAAAGGGUUUUCUGGAACGAUCAGCGAGGGUCUGGGGCCCUUGCGGGCCCUGCGCCCCAAGCCUGUGGCAGAGGUUGUCCAGCAUCUCUUUGCCCGCAUUUCUCUCUGCUUGCUGACACCCUACUUCCCACUCUAGGUGUGUCAGUUUACAGGCUGCACCCCGCCACUGUCUCCUUUCUAUUAGUGUUCAUAGACACUUGUCUCAUGGCUACCUUUCUAGUCACUUUCCUCCUUAACAGCUUCCCUUCUUAUAUCUCACCCCUCAUCCUUCCAGUGUUUUCUAGUUAAGAACCCUCAGGAGACGGGCUUAGAGCCCAUUUUAUCUUUGUGCCUCAGCUGUGGACUCUGCAGCCACCCACCCCUGCUUCAGUAGCAGGAACAGAAAGCAACAGGCUUUGUGUGAGGGACUGUAGUCACCUACGGCAGCUUCCGUUAGCAAGAGGGCAUGAUUCACACGUUUGGCACAACAAACAUUGCCAAAAUAUUUUGACUGUAACUCUGAUAUCAUGCACCCUUUGAGAGAGAUGAUGUAGAUGACUCCUAAUUUAGUAGAUCUAGACAGGUAGCCAGGAGCAAGCAUUGCACUUAAACUCUUAAUUUUGGAGGCAUGGUUUCAAUCUAUGGUUGUUUGUUAUAAAAGGAGUUUACAGAGGAGAGCAGUUUCCUUUGAAAUAGAAGUAGCAGAAUGAGGAAACUUUGAUUCAGCAACUUGAAGUUUCUAGGCAUCAAGAGCAGCCUUUCCAGGGAAAGAACCAUGCGCCAAGUUUUAAAUAUUUGAUUUAAAUUGAUUGGAAUCUGAUAACAGCUUUAACUGGAAGAACCCAAGAAAAUGUCCAUAAACAUUUCACUUUAUUAAUCCCAUUCAUGGAUCUACUUAGGAGGUACAGUUCAGGCAAACAGUAACAGUAGUUCUUGGGCCCUUGCUAUGAUACGUCAGGUACCACGCCAAGGACUUACACGCCCCAUCCCAUUUGAUCCUCAUGGAAACCUUUGGAGGACAGCUGUGCUCAUUAUGUCUGUUUUACAGCCGAAGGAAUUAGGCUUUAAAGAAGCUAGACCUUCUCAGGGUCGCAAAGGUGAUGUGACCUGAUGAGAAUUUGAAUUUGAGUCUUGGCCUGUAGCCACUGGGUGUCUGCUGAUGCUGGUCCUCCACCAGCACCUUCCCCAACCUAAACAGCUUUUAAAAAAUAUUUUAUUUUUGAGAAAAUCCUAUGCUAUGUAAUCUAGGCAGUCCUUGACUUUCAGUCCUCCUGUCUCUGCUCAGGCGUAGACCACUGUGGUAGGCUAAGGAGCUUUUGGCAGAGGUUGUAAAGACACCUCACCGCCCAGCCUUUUGGGUUCUCCUCAGUGGCUUAAGACAGGAGUAUUUACAGCAUUGGAGAAUUUUCUGGGAAGAGUCUAAGAUAGGGGUGAAGGGAUGGUUCAGGCAAAGCCCAGAGCCUUGCAGGGUGUAUAGAUUGCUGGUGGAUAGACUACCUCCCAGGAGCCUUUGCUGGUGGCCCACUGGUGGCCCUGCAGACACGAGGCAACAGACAGCCCUCCACCAGAGGAGGGAGGUGACCAACAGGCUCAGAAUGUUCCUUUCACUAUUUUGAAGACGCAAUAGGGUGCCCUCACACAUGGGCUGAUCAGCCAUCCAACUAAAUAGUUUCAGAGAGACGUAUCAGAAAGAACAUGGUAGGAGGUGUAUGUAAAGUCAAGUAUUUUAAAAUUACACAUUAUUUCUGCAUGUUCCAGGCAAACCACUGGGACCCAGGAGAGCCUCUGCUUUCUAUCAUUUGUUUUCACUAUGAGCGUUUGUGGGGGAGAAUGUGCUUCCCCCGAAUUGCUGAAUUAAAAGAAAUCAAUUAUUAAGUCAGAGGACCAACCAGUCACUGUUUUCUCCUGGUGUGGAACAUGAAGUGCUCUUUAAAACGUUGCCAAUUGUUUCGGUGACUUGUGACUUACAGGAUGUCAAUUUGUUUCCCUGUCUGGGUUUGGCAGUUUGCACAGGAGUAGGAGAAACUGUGGUACCUUGUCUCAGAGGACUGGAGAGGUUCUUCUGUUACUACUGCAGAGGGCUUGCUGUUGGAUCCCUUGGAGCCAGGAAGGGAAUGAAGCAGGUUGGGGAAAAAAGCAAUUAUAGUAACAAUACCCUUGAAUAGAAAUUUGAUUGUAUUUAGAUAGGUACAGAGAUGUUUUUUAUAAAUCAGACAAAGUGGUUAUGAUUUUUAAAUCUCAGAAUUUAUUUUUAAAAAUUCCUUUUAUCUUCAACCUUUAAGUAAAAAUAAAUAGCAUUAACACCUAUUACCAUGUGUCUUGGAAAAAACAAUGGUUGCUAUUCCCUUGGUGUGACAGCCACUUAUUUAGCCAGUGAGUAAUUCCCAGGGCUGGGGUGACUUCAUCAAUGAAUCUAAUGCACAAACAAAAACAUCCUUCACUCGUGUCUAAAAAAAAGUAAUUAUUGUGUUAUGUUGAUAGUAAAAUCAGCCAUCAGUUGUGUGUGUGUGUUGUGUGUGUGUGUGUGUGUGUGUGUGUGUGUGUAUGCUGUGUAUACUCAGACCUGAGGACACCUUUAUACUUUAAUGCUUGUGAACCAGAAACUGUAACCAAAAGGGGGAAGGACUGUAUACAACUACAAGAUUUCUUCUUGUGCUUUGUAGCAGUGAUGCAUGUGUUAAAUCCAUAUCAGAUAUUCUUACCAUGUUGAACUGGCAAAUUUACCCCUUGGAAAUUUUCUAAUAUCACAAAAUCUUAAUAGACAGUAGUGUUGCCUUAUCCAGUGAAGGUAACAGUACAGAUUUUAGGUUAAACAGGUUUCCUUUGAUCUCCCAAGAAAUAGCUGUAAAGUGUAGAAGUAAAAAAUAAAAAAUUAAAGAAAACCCAAGCAAACCCCAAACUUUCUUUUUAUCCAAAUUCUGCUAUUUGUACCAGUCAUAUUUCAUAAGAUUUUCGUUGUUGAUGAUGUGUAAAUUGAAGUAUUUCUGAGAUUCGGACCUUUUCUCCUUCAUGCUGUCCCACAGGCCUGUGCAAUGCUGUGCAUAUUCUGUCUUUAUUUUUUUCAGUAUAGCUGUGCAUAUUCCGUUCAUACUGUUAUCUUAGGGGCUGGGGAUUUAGCUCAGCGGCAUAAGCACCUGCCUUGCAAGCAGGCUGUCAUGAGUUCGAUCCCUGGUACCCAUAAAACAAAAACAAAAACAACAUACUGUUAUCUUACAUUUACAUUUUAAAAACCUUUUCUUUUGCAAGAAAGAAACGGGAAGUGAAAAUAUUUUGAAGGCCCUUGCUUUUCCAAGAGAAUGAUUUCUCACUGUGUCACCUGUGUGUGGAUCCCUAUAGAGGAUCCACUCAGGCAGCUCUUGCAUCAGAACAAUAUGGUUUGCCUGUGCUUUCCUCAGAGAGAACAUCCUCGAUUCUGCUUUUGAUGAUUCCCAAGUUGAGGUCUUAAAUGAGGCUGUAUAUGUAGAACUGCUAAAAUUUUGCCUCAUUUCAGCUACGCAGUCCUGUAGGUCAUGUCAUUCACUCUCUGUAAGCCAGGCACCAGAGUAAACUAGAAAUAUCUGACUGUGUUUGUGACUGGUCAUGUAAAUAAUGGUCUCAGAUUCAGCCAACCAUCUAAAAUACUAUUUUAGUUGUGACCAGUUUUUAAGUUUUUCAAGCAGUUUAAAGCACUCGCAGAUUGAUCUUGAAAGGUCUGGUAUAAUAGUUAUUGUAAAAUUGCUAUGUGUGUAGUUUUAUUGUGCUAUUAUUUGUGCUGUUAUUUUCACUGCAAAGCUUGCUUUCUUUUUCAGUGAUGGACUUUUUCUAAGGGAUAGACAAAAGGAUGUUCAUGGAUUUAUGUAGGAACAAAGAGAGGAUAAGCUUCUAACCUGGGGGAGUAGUAGAUGUUUUUCUCCCUUUCUGAGCUCUGGCCCUAGAAUGGAGCAAUCCUCUGUGGAUGCUCCUCAAUGAAAUGUGACACUUAGUCGUGCUCAGGAGAUGUGACAUCUCUCGUGUCAUUUUGCUGCCAGCUGUGUGUCAGCACACCUGUGCUUUCUUUGGUAGGCUGUGAUCCUUACUAUGAGCAAACCCUCGCCUGAUUGUGUUGAUAAAUUAUGCAUAUGGAGACUGCAUUUUGUCUUCCAUCUAAUAACCACCUGAUUUUAAUAGUGAUGAAAUCUGAGUGGAUUCUGUCUCCUUUUUAUUUGUAUCCCUGUUCAGUACUAACUCCUGAAUGAUUUCUUAUUUUUCUUGGUUUCCUCCUCUGGCUGUUUUAUUUGCCUGUACUUAAAUACUUGUAUAGCUUGGGGAUCGUCUUUUCUUUUACAUUCUUCUUGGGUCAUCUCUGCCACAUCCCUGUGUCAAACACAGCUAAUUGUGUGUGUGUGUGUGUGUGUGUGUGUGUGUGUGUGUGUGAUGUAGUUUGCUGCCUUUUAGAUACAACUCAGUUGCACAGACAUUUAAAAUUGGAUAUAUCCCUCUAUUGGUAGUAGUGUAAAUUAGUAAAGCCAUUUUGGAGAACAGGACGGUGAUUCCUCCAAAAAAUGGAACACAGAAUUACGACAUGAUCCAGCAAUCCUAUCAGUGUAUAUAAAACCAAGGAGAAUGGAAUAAUUAUAUCAAAGGGAUGUUUGCACACUCAUCUCUGUUGCAGUAUCGUUCACAACAGUCAAGCUGUAUAAUCAAUCGAGAUGCUCCUACUGAUGAAUGGAUUUACAAUGUGGUGUGUAACACAUGAUCUUAAUUCAAUCAUAAGAAAGGAUGAAAUCCAAGCCAGGUAUGGUGGCACAUGCCUGUAAUCCAAGCACCCUGACAGACUGAGAUAGAAGGAUCACAAGUUUAAACUUAGCCCGUCCAACUUAGUGACUUGGCAAGACCCUGCCUCAACAUAAAACAAAGCAAAAUAAAAUAGGAUGAAAUUUUGUCACUUCCAACAAUCUGGAUCUAGUUAGAGGACAGUGUGUUAAAUAAAAUAAACCAGGUGUAGAAAGACAUAUACCAUGUGUUUUUACUCAUUUGUAGGAACUUCAAGUUGGUUUCAUGGAAGUAGAGACUCGAAUACAGGUCCCUGGAGGGAGGACAGUGAGAGGAUAGAUUGUGGAUACUGAAGCAGAGUUCGCGGUGGGCUAAGGGGUUUAAAGUUGUCCUGUUAUAUAGCACCGUGGAGCAACUGUAGUCCACAACAGUUACUUGUCUAUUUUAAAAAUACUGGAAGAAAAUUGAUUGAGGGUUUCCAACCAUAGAAAUGAUGAAGAUGUCUGAGAAGGUGGACGUGCUCGUCAUCUUGAUUUGAUACACGUUGUAUGCACACACUGAGUUAUAGCGCUGUACCCACAAAAGUGUACAAAAAUUAUGUCAAAAAUAUUAAAUAAUAUCUACAUGUAAAAAUGUCUCAAUUCAUUUCAUAUGACAUGUAUAAAAAUAUAUGACAUACAGGAAUAAAUGUCGUAAAUACAGAGUAUCUGUGGAGUUUCAUGAAAAUUUUUGCUCCUUAUGUUUUGUUGAUAUUAACCCAAAUCAUUAAACUUCAGUAUUGAAAUGUAUUGAUAGUACAAAGACAAUUUUUUUAAUAAAAAGUAAACUUUUGUGGAAAAUGGUUUAUAUAUCCAAUCAAGAUCUCAUCAGUUUCCCUUUUUCUUCCCUCCCCUGGUGGGGGUGGGUGGGGAGGAAUGUCUAGCACGUGAGUUUUUGUUUAUGUUCUUGACCUCUGUGAAGAUGAAAAUCUAGAAACCAACCUCGAAACCGUCCAUCGGUGUCAUUCCCCGUCUAUUUGGUGGUCACUGUUGGCAUUCCUACUAUCUUAUAGGUAAAUGGAUGCAACUUGAGACCAUAUUCAUAAGUGAAAUAAAUCAGACUCGCAUGAGUAAACAUUGUGUUGUCUCUGUAGUGUAAAAAACUGAAAGACUAAAUAUGAUCCAAAACGUAGAAUAGAUAUUCUGACCAGUGAAAGAGGAAGAAA